UCUUUUCCAAUUCAUGGCCUUUUGAUUUCGUGUUCUUGUCUAGUUGAGUUUCAACAUCGUCAUCUACAUCCCAAGAGAGUUCUUCCUCAUCAUCAAUCGAAAUUGCUCUCUUCACAAGACGAGCUCUUACCCUCUCUUGCUGUUUAAGCUUAUGGACUCUAUAAAAGUACCUACACCAGAAGGUCUCAAUAUCAACAACAUUAGGGACCAUUUUUCUGUAAACACCCUCCAAGACUCCAUUUUCUCCAAUCAAAUCCUCAACUUCCUCUCCCUUCUCGUCCAGAGAAAAUCCUGAUUUCCACUCCUCAUAGUCCUCCAAAUCCUCAGGCUCUUCAGAGAAAGUAUUCACAUCACCCUGAAUGACAUUCAAUUGAGCAUCGAACCAGCUGUAUCUACCCGAACCCGAGACCCGACUGGCAUCAGGUGUUUCCGAUUCAACAUCGGAGGAUGAAAUGACAGUGUCUUUACCGUGGGAGAUGAUAUCAGCCGUGGAUUUGAUCACGCCGUCAAUAGCGUGGGUGACCGAUUCCAGAGAUCCAUGAGCAACCGAAGCGCCAACCUCGAUCGAAGCCGGGAGAUCCCUGACGGCUCGACCGGCAACUUCCCGGAAGAGUUGAGAUUCUUUCCUCAGACCCGAACCAAACUCCUGCAAAUCGCGACGGUAAGUCUCGAGCACCGACUCCGAUUGGGAGGCUAAGGUCUUGAUCAAGCCACCGAAGCUCCAUCCACCGACGCUACUAGUAGUAGAACUAGUUCCCGCGACAGGUGAUGAAUUAGGGUUGGAGUUUGCAUUGGGGCUCUUAGCAACGACUCCGCUUUCUUCGUCAGAAUCCUGAGAUGAACUGGGUGGUGGGGAAUUGGGUUCUGAUUCCUGGGUUUUCUGGGGAUGCGGAGGGUCCGGAUCAUCUGAUAAAAUGGAUUUGAAGAAAUUCAUAAUAAUGUCAGGGAAUCCAGUGAGGAGGUUAGGGAUUUUUUUAAAUUUGUUUGGAAAGAAUUGAAUUGAGCGAGAGACGACUUGCACAACUAACGUUUCGACCAAAAAAAAAAAAAAGAGACGACUUGCACGUUCAGAUCGGGCACAAAAAUGUUUCAACUGAGGUAAAUGUGUGUGGAACUCCUAACAAAAUUUAAAUUUAAUAAUAAAAAAAACACAUUGAUAUACGGCUCUGUUGGGCCGUUGGACUGGGCUUACAGAAACAAAAUCUGGAGUUGGUCUUGCCUGCCUAACAAAAGUCACUGGAGAUCGCUUUGGACUUCUCGAGAGUGGGAGGCUGACUUCCGGCGAAAACUUCGUGUGAACAGCGUCCGAAAAAACAUGAGAGCAGAGUAUUUUUGUAAACCUUUCUUUCUUUUCUAACGUGCAAGUGUGCUUGAUAAAAUUGAAAUCUGAAUUUUGAAUUUAGCAAGUUAUUGAAUUGCUAAGUAUUAAAUCUAAUAUGUUUGAGUGUAUUAAGAUCUGAAUCCAUUAAAUUUAAAUGCUGAAUUGCAUUAUCAAACAAGACCUAAUUAGUGUGAGAGUGUGAAUUCUAUAUCUCUCGCUCACACUCCCUUCCGAACAACUCAAUUCAUUAUUAUCCAUUAAAUUUAAGUGCUGAAUUCCGUUAUUAAACAAUGCGUUAUUGAAUUCGAUAUCUCUCACUUACACUUCCUUUUCCAAAUAACUCAAUCCAUCAUUCUCCAAACCAAAAAAAAAGAAGAAAAAAAAGAAAGUAGUAUAAACAUACUAUUAAUUGCUUGCGUAUUACGCUGAUAAAUCUCAACAGCUCACUUAUUCGUCUUGGCAAUGCAACCUGUCGAAUCCCUCUGCCAUUCCAUCUCCGAUUUGUUCCAAAAUAUGGGGACAUGUCCCAUUGCCUGUGAUCAUUCAAGGGAGGUGAAAACUGGAACAUAUCCCAUUGUUGAAGCUCAUUCAGCAAUUGGUGGGGCCUUGUCAAAUGAUUUGAGAUGACAAAUUUGAUGCUAAACCUGCGUGCCACGUUCGUCUUUGGUCACAGUCUUUACAGCGUAGAAGUAGCUCUGGAAGUCACGGUCUUUGCUUCGGUGUUGGUGAUCUAUCUUUGGCCCUACCGAGGAAUAAAGCGUCACAGAAUUUUGAAAAUUCUGUCUCCAAUAGUUGUUGCAUUUGUACGGCACUGUGGACUUCCCUGGGCAGUGGAUGGACGCUGCUAGCAGAGAGCUACAUAUUCCGAUGAUUUCUCUAGAUAAAGAUAACGAUGAUGCAGACAUGCAAGCAACGCACACCAAUAUUCUUCCCAGUGAGCUUGCAGCUGCCAUUUUUCCUUUUGACAUAAAGCCAAAGGUGGCCCAUGACAGAACAAAGCCUCCUUUUCUCUUAAAAGUGAAAAGGAUGAUUCAAUUGAAACCCGCUCUUCUCACCUUUUCUUUUUGAGUUACCCUAUCUUCUAAGAAUAGAAUACACAAAUCGUUCAUGCAUUUCACAUGCCACAUUUUUGGAACCUGCAGUUAAUUAAUUUGACCUAUAACCAACCCUUUAAUCUCUUCAAAUUUGCGUCUCACGACUCCAACAAGGGGCGAAGCUUAAUGAAAUGGCGAAAGGGAGGGACGACAUGCAGCCUCUGGGCGUCUGUCGCCGCUUCUUCAAUUUCAUCAUUGACCAUCUCAGCAGUCAAGGCAUCAAGCGGGUUGCCCUUGGCCUCGAACGCGAGUCGAUCGAGGUGCCUAUUGAAGAAGGUUCAUCAUCCAUAAGUAAUCAUGUGAAGAAGAACACCAAUGUCAGGCGGUUGUCCAACCCGAAUGGUGAAGUUGUAAUCGAGUUCAGGCAUAUCGAGACGCUGGAGAACGCUUCACCGGAGCAAAAUGGCCUGAUUGUAGAUGAUGAUGAUCGAAAGCUGGUGCGAAAGGGUGUCACAAGAAAAGAACCAAGAAGACACCCUGAAUCUGCCCCGACGGCUACAAAUGGCAGAAUGGUGAUAGUAUCAGCUCCAAAGAAUUCUGAUGCCGGAUUCCCAGUCCCAGAUGAGGGUCCCCGAGAGAUAAAGCAACCCCCGGCCGCUCCGGAGACGGGCCUAAAGAGGAUGAUCCCUGUUAGAGAAAGUGCAGGCAACGGAGAGAAAGGAAAGAAGAAUAAGCAAGAGCCGAAAGACAUUCCAAUCCACCAACCGACUACGUCUGCAAACAAUCAAGACACGGCAGCACUGUAUCAGAGACUCCCGCAGAGGACGGAAUCCAACAUAAAUGAAAAGGCGGAUGCCUUCAUUCGAAGCAGGAAGGAAAAUUUGAGGCAAGCAUUGAAGCCUUGAGCGCAACACUUAAUUAAUUAGUUGAGCAAUGCACUUAAAAAAGUUGUGGUCCGGUUUUCCAUCCAACGUCCGAAAAUAGAUGGCUUUUAAUUCCUAAUUUGAUUGUUUUCACUGUAAAUGUGCAUUGGUUGACAAUUUCUUAUUAAUGAUGAAACUCCCUGUAAUAGUGUAUUACUUGACGAGUAAUACUUGUGGAUAACCUCUUUAAUGAAUUAAUGUGGCUCAAUCAGUCCUUUAAUUAAUCUUGACCUCUCAGAAUAAUGCUACCGACAUUCUGGUAUUACAAGUUGCAAGAUUCAUGCCUCAAGUCCUUAUCGUCUUCACAAGAGAGGGAUUUGACUUUUUAUUCCAAAUUGAACCUGCCUCUUCUUGAUGGGAUUACACUGAGAUUUUAUGACCAGCUUGUUUAUGAAGAAAUAAUUAGGACCAGCCCCAACUAGCUAGCUUCUUUAGAAAUAAGAGAUGAGAAAUCUGGUGAUGGUCCCUGAUGCUAAAGGUACGAUCAAGCAUCCUCGUUUCUCUAGCAUCAUUAACACUACGGCCAGGAUUCUACCAGCUUUCCCCUUCAUGGGGAAAACAAGUUCCACAGGCAGAGAAAUACUAUAUUUGUACAGAUCAAAAAGGAAUAACCAACCAAGAAAAAACAGACAAUUACACAUAUUCCUGCCACCCCCAAGAAAAAUAAACAAUUACAAACAUUCCUGCUACGCUUUAUCCUGGACGACAAUCUCACGGCUACAGAAUGGUCAUCCUUCCACAAUUUUGGCACUUUGGACGAGCUAGCUUUGUGAUACGCGGAAAAACAAAAAAAAGAACAUACAGUACUGAUUAUAGAAGUUUCAGUCUCGCUCAUGUCCUCCAUGCACGGGACAAAGUUGAAAACUUGAAUCCUGUACCUGGACAAAAUGAACAAUUUCUCGACAACAUGGCUUUUUUUUAUUUUUUAAUACAACUUCACUGAAGAAAAGGUACAUUACUAAUAUCUUCUUCUCAGCCCCCCCCCCCCUCUCUUUCGGGUGUCUUUUUUUUUUUUGGUUCAAAAAUAUUUGUGCCGAUCGACUAAAUAUAUUCAAGAAACUCAAGUCAGAAACUUUGUGUAAUAGUUGUAACUUCUCCCGCAUAGACUAGCUGGUAAAACCUUUUUUUCUUUUUUUUUAGUAAUGUCUUUUUCUCCAGAUAUUUGAUCACUAUAUAUCUAAUUUUGUCGACUAAUAUCCCAUCCCCUUCUCUCAAAAUCCAAGCCCUCGAGGAAUUAAUGAAUUACAACUCUAAUCAUCACUUGUCACUAUUCCUCAAAAGAAUGUUUUGAGGAGCGGUAAAGAUCGUAAGGAGCCCAUAGAUGAUCAACGUUGCAGGGUUUCCUGGAGUCCAGUCUCAACCACGGCUUACCCUUUCCGCUCCAAUGCAAUAAACUGAUGGGCCCGGGAUGCAAACUCCUGCAUUUUCCUUCAAUAUUAUCACCGCCCAGUCCGUGCUGAUUCCAUCUGUGAUCAACUGCCUUCAUAUUUCCGGCCAGGACGAGCAAGAAUGGCGGCAGAGAGCCCAAACGGUAGAUUCUCUUUUGCUUCUGCACUGCCAUCCACUCCUCAACCUUCUGAGUAUAGUUUCCUCGUCUCCACCUAUCAGCAUCCACCACCAUCACUCCCGUAUUAAAGUAGCAAGGAUCUCUCCCUUGAAAAAUUUUGGGCAACUCCGGGUCAGCCCAAAAUGCUUCCGUAAAGUAGUUAGUGAAGUUUGCAUGGCAAUAUUCGGGUGCAGCCAAAACCUUGUCUUCCAAAUCGACGCCCCAUAGCUUCCCAACAUCGUCCACCAUGACAAGAUCAGAAUCGAGAUAGAUAACGCGCUUGACCUCCGCGGGGAUUAUUUCUGCGAGAUAUACACGUGCAUAAUUCAAGGGCUGGUCUAGAGCUUGGCGAACGGACUUGGAUAUUAACCCGCGAACCCUGCUCGAAUCGAAGCGAUACACCUUGAAGUUGAGGUAAGGGAAGGUAGAUUUAAUGUUGGAAUACACCUCGGUUUCGUGCCUCACCCAAAGAAAGUGGAAGACGACGUUCUCGGGGCACGUCGAAUGUUGCAGGAUGGACAACACGGCAGCCAUGGUCCCUCUGAGAUAAUUAGCAUCCAGGGUCAUGGCAAUGUGGAUGUGCUCGGCGUCCCCGGAGGGUCUUCCGCAUGUCUCCCCGUUACGGAAGGCCGGAGCUUCGCGAAACACGGUGGCAUCUGGGACGAACGGCUUGCGUACGAUGCCAAGGCGGAUGCCGGUGGCGAUGGUGGUUAAGGGAAUGGCGGAGGUAGAGGUGGUGGUGGUGGCGAAGGGGUGGAGGAGGGUAAGGAAGAGAGACAGGAGGCCAAGGAGGAACGGAAGAGAGCAUAAUCUUCUCAUCCUGCUCUUGGCACUUACGGGUGUUUAAUAAAAAAAAAUCAAGAAAAAGGAGGGGAAGCAGCCAUUGGAGGCUGGCUAAGAGAAGGUUUAGGAGAGGUCAGAAAUGACUGACUGGAAAAGGGAAGGAGGGAAGGGAGCUUUGUUGGUGUGAUCGAUUGUGAGGAGAUGAACAAACCUCGGAGGAUCUUCUACCCGCAGGAACCCAUGCCGCUUUUCUUCCUAAUUUCCUUGUUACAAAAAAUUAAACAAUUUCGAAACUACUCCUCAUAGUCAAGGACUACACUAUUUCUAUAUGGAUCUUUUACUUUCCUUAAUAUGGAGUAUUGCACUAAAUAACUUGGAAACUCCUCAAAGUCAAGGACUAAUCUAUUUCCUUUUUUUUUUUUCAUAUUUCCUUUUGGUUUCUGCGGCUUCCAAAAGUUACUAGGAGAAUUGUACCACUAGAACUUUUCCUCAAAAAAAAAAAAAAAAAACCACUAGAAAUUUUUUUAAACAUUUGUUUUACCAUUUAAAUACACACAGGUCAGACAUCUAUUUUACCAUUUGAAUUUACGUGCUCACAUUUUUAUGUUCCCUUCUAUUCAAAUAUUUUCUUAACUUUAUUUUCCCAAAAAAGCCAAAAAAAAAACAAUUGAAAUCUUUCAUAACUAAUAUAUAUGCACAAGUCAGUGGUCAGACAAUCCUUACCACCAUAUUACUAGUUCUGACGCAGUAUCUCUCUUCUUAUUCAAAAGAAAGAGGAUGACACAAAUAAAAAAGCAUGGUAGUAUUUUAGCACCCAAGGAAAAAAUCAAAGUAUUUGGGGGAGGAAGGGUUGGGGUAGAGGUAUUCAUCUGCCAAUAAUCGAAAAUUUGGUAAAAAAAUUCGGGAGUUCGAGAGUCGAUUUUUCAAGAUUAAUAUCUGAUCACUCUCCAAAUAUUAGUUUAGUAAAUUGGAUUUCAGCUGGAAAAUUGGUAAAUUGGUAAUUGGAUUGCCGGUUUCCGUCGAAAAAUUACGUCGUUUUCUGUGAUCACAUUUCCCUAUUACCUUUUUCCCUCACAUACAUCAAAUCGCUACAGUAAUUUUUCCAUGAAAAAUCACGGAAAAUGCAAUCCAAACACAACCUUAACUUUCUCUAAAAAAAUUGUUGCAUCAAACCCUGUGUUUUUUCCAACAAAAUUCAACCAAAAUUCGGGAGUUUGAGAGUCAAUUUUUCAAGACUAAUAUCUGAUUACUGUCUAGAUUUUAGUUUAGUAAAUUGGAUAUUAGUAAUUGGAUUGCGGCUGAAAAACUGGUAAUUUGGUAGUAUCCGAAAUCUGAAAUGCCAAUAGUAAGUUAAAAUAUUUUAACUUUUUCUAAAAAUAUUGUUGCAUCAAACCCUGUGUUUUUUCCAACAAAAUUCUACCAAUUUAUCAACUAGUUAGUAGUCAAUAGUUAACUCUUUUUUUUUUUUGUAAAUAGGAGGACUUGAACUUGGGAUCUCUCAUUUAUACUCCCUUCCUCUAAACCACCCAACUCAUCACUACUAAUUAGUAUUAUAUAUAUAUGUACACACUAAUUAGUAUUAUAUAAUUAGUAUAUAUAUAUAUAUAUAUAUACACACACAAUCUUAUAUUAUAAAAGUUUAGGAAAUUCUAUCUGUAAUCGAUAACUCAGUAGUGUAUUCUUAAUAUCAGUUCCCAAACUGUUUUAGGAUGGGCAAUUUCUUUUGACCCCUCUUUUUUUUUCUACUAUUCUAUUAUAAUAUAGUAGUAUUUAUUAUUGAAUUUAUCUUAUAUGCACUGAUAGUGUAAACAUUAUCAAGGUUGAAUGUAUGACAGAUAUGAAAAAUUUGGAUUUCAAAUUCAAAUUCAAAUUAUGUAUUAUGCUCUGACGGUAAAAGUGUAUAUACUAACAGUGUGUAGAAGAUCAAUCCUUAAAGAUUUUUUAGAAGUUUUUUUUUUUUUUUUGUCAACGGAGUGGGGUGUCCGGGUCAAGUCCGUAAAGGCGGCCCGACUAAUCCCCACUCGGCCCGGCCCAGCGCCCCAACCAGACCUAGCACGUUAAAUGCACGGCGAACUGAUGUUGCUGCGGAGAUUCGACCCCAGGACCUAACGGUCCCGAGGAGGAGGCGCCAACCACCAGCCCAUUCACGUGGGGGCUUAAAGAUCUUUUAGAAGUGCCGACUAAGAUCGUUAAAGCAGAGACUUUUCGUUGAGAGUUAAAACCAAUAAUAAUCACCACCAAAGUUGCUCUUUACUGUAUACGGUUCCAUAACCAAACCUAAAAAGAUAAAAUACUCCCAUUUGAAGUUGAACUGUUUAUAAUGGUCCGUGAAUUUCCUCAACGGAAAGGGUAGAGCGUAUAAUUCAUGCCAUGCACUUGAGCACGCAGGUGAAGUUAAUUAGUCUAUCCCUUGGACUGUAGAUCGAUGCAUUUAGAAACGAAAAUAAAAGCAGCCUUUCGUCGAUAUAUAAAUCCAAAUGGUAGUCAGCUUGGUUUACCCCAAAAAAGGGGGGAAAUCAGUUAAUGCCAAUUGAUUUUCUUUAAUUAAUUACUCGGGCAGCAAUAGAGAUGUGUUCAUAAAGGUCGGCUGUAUUGUUAGAGCCUAAUUAACCUCCAAAAGUCAAACCUUGAUCUCACCCUCGCAUGGAUCUAUUGGCCCGCACCACAGCACCCCUCUGUAAUUUGCUUAGCUUGCACUCCGCGGGUCAGCCGACCCAUAGUGCAAACAGGAUGGGAUAAUUCGUUGUUGGCUCAUGGCUGGCCAGCGAGGGCAUAUAUGGUACUUUAAUUAUUUUUAAAAAAAAGAAAAAUUACGCUGGCAAGAAAAAAAAGGUUUUUUUUUUUUAACGAUAAAAACUUUUAUUAAUCAAAAGGUAACUAUACAGGUUGGACAGGUCCUUUUCUUGCAUGUCUAGUGCACCCUUGACUAAGGAGAGGAAUGAAUUCUCUCCUCGUCAUUGACGAUACUUAGCGCAUGAAUGCAAAAAUGUGUACAAAAAUCCAUGAAUGCUAAGACGUGUACUUGGCGCAUGAAUGCUAAGAUGGUAAGAAGAAGAAGGCAGGCACUUGGUGUGGCUGUAUCGGCAGAGGGCUUAAGCUCGACCUUGACACGGUAAAAUGGAAAACUAGAUGGAACCUUAUAUUCAUAGUUAUUAAAUCCAGCCUGACAGUUGAACCGAUUGGCCCGGUGACUCGAACGUUAGAUCGGGCCAGGUCUCUAGUUUGAUCUAAUAAACAAUUGACCCGAUUAAAUCUGGUUGACUCGGUAGUUCACUUGGAAGCCCGUCCGAUUUUUCAAUUAAUCCGAUUUAUCUUUUUUUUUUUAAUAAAAAAAUGUGGAUCUUUGUUUUUUAAACAAAUGUAUAUAUGCUCUUGAUAAGAUUUAUUUAUUGGAUCUUCAUUUAAAUAUAUAUAGACUUUAUCACUUGUUUAGUUUUUAUUUGAUAACUAAAUAUAUUUUUAAUAAACUUGUUUAUUUUUUAUUUUAUAAUUAAUCCUUUUAACUUUUAAACUGAUAAUAUUUGAUUAGUUAGAAAAUUACUUUGUUUUUAGAUAAAAAAUAAAAUAAUGAAAAAAUAAUGCUAUAUUUUUUAAAACAAGCGAUAUAAAUUUUGUUUUAUACUUGACUAUAUUAUUUAUUUAUUUAAAAGUGCAAUAAAAUGAAAUUAAAUCUUCUAUUAAUAUCUAUAUAUUUAUUAUACAUCUUUCGAAGUAUAAUAAUUAGUAUCUAAAAAUAUUUAUUAUAUACUUUAUGUAUAUUAAAAUUACUAUUUUAUAUUUAUAAAUAUUAAAUUAAUAUUCAUCGGUUCAACCAGUGACCCACUGAUUACCCAAUCCCUCUACCGAGUCUUUGUUAAAUCCAUUGGUGGUCUUUGUUAAUUGCUGUCUUUAUUUAUUUAUUUAGUAACCAGUGACCCCAUCUUUGUUAAAUCCAUUUAGUAGAUAGAGUAUCUCUCAUUUUAUAACGUCCGUACACUGGCUUCGAUUCCAGACUGUGCUGAAAUAGUUAUUUACUUGAGCUCCACAUCUUACAUAGAUGACUCAAUUUUUUUUUUUUUGGGGGGUGCAUGAGGAGGGGAUUGGAUGAGCACAUUGUCAUCCUUGAGGAUAGGACAUGGAAUACCCACUUGUUGUCCAUGAAGACAGAAUAUAAAUUUGUUUUUGAAUUGGACAGUGUGAGUUCUAUUCGAUCUCAUCCAAAAGUUUUACUUCAUCUCAUUAUUAUCUUCUCCAGAGGCGACAAACUGCUAUUGAUGAACUCAACAUACGCAGUAUAUUUGAAGAGAAUGACGUUGUUUGUGUAAGUCCACCAAUUCUACACCUUUUCUGGUGCUGCUGGUAUCAGAAUUUCUAGUUGUAAGGCUGCAUGAUAUAUCUUAUGGAAAUCCAGGAUUGCAAACGCCACCACCAGCUCCCCCCCCCCCUACAAAAAUAAAUAUAAAUAGAUAAAUAAGCUUGAAUGUCCUGUUGUUUUUCUUUAAUUUCAUCACAAUUUUUUUUUUACAUUUGAAUCUUUUGACAUAUGGAAAUUAAUCCCUUAUAAUUUAAUAAUUACCAGUAAUCAUUAAAUUUUGAGGAACCUUUGAUCUCAAGAACUUAAUACUUCGAGCACCUAACUUUUAGAUUAUUUAGCAAAGAUUGUGCUGUUUCAGGCUGUAAUCCGUGGUUUCCAACAUGAUGGAAGUCUACACCUACAAGCAAGAAGUCAGAAGUAUGGAAAGGUGUAUCUGUGAUCCUUGGGUUUGAAAUUUAUGUAUUCUUGGUGCUGAUCAUUGAAAAAAUGCUAAGGUGUUCAAAGAGGAAUUGUUUCGGGUCUCGAGGAGUUAAUCAAUGUUUUUGCUAUCUCCAUGUCCAAUUGGUAUUACCCACACCUCGAAUCUCCUUCCUCAGCCUCUCGAUCUAAACCAUUACACCUAUUAUACUUACUUUUAUUACUUUCAACUUACUCAUUUUGUUUCCUUUUGGUUUUUUCAACAGCUUCAUAGAGGUCAGUUGCUCAGAAUCCCCCCUUAUCUGGUAAAGAGGCGCAAACAACAUUUCCACCACCUAGACCUGUAUGGAGUUGACUUGAUACUCGGCAGUAAUGGAUUCAUUUGGGUUGGUGAACAUGUUGAAGCCAAAGAUGACAUGGUAGCGGAUCAAAUGAUCAAAUCCGAGCAAGAGAAUGCCAAUUUAAGUGGUUCGGCGAGUUCUGAUGAUCAAGAACAAAGUCACACAUCACUAGAGAUUGGGCAACAUUUAUGUAGAAUAGCAAAUGCUGUCAGAGUAUUAUCCACUCUACGUUUCAUGGUUACUGCGGAACUGAUAACUGAGAUAGUUGAUUUGAGCAGGUUGCAUAAUCUUGAUAUACAUGAGAUGCUUGGGGCUGAAUUCUAUGUCAUUGUUGUUGAGAAAGAAGCUGAAGUUUAACAUCAGUGUUUGAUUUAUAUGUGCCUGUAAUUGGUGGCAAAAGCCAUCUCCCUGAAGAGAGAGACAGAGAGAGAGGGAGAGAGGAAAUUCAUUUUGUUGCAGUCGUCUUUGCUUUUAACUUUAGUUUAGACGUGUAUUUCGUUGAGAUCUUUUUGAAUCAUCGACAGAUUUGUUAGUGUCAAUUGACCAAGGCAAUGAAGACAAAUUGCUUUCAUGACAUAAGAAGCGUCCUAUUUGUGUAUGCAUGUAUUUGUGGGUUAUGUCUGCUGUCUGCAGACUUGCUUCUUAGUGAUUUUUGGUGGAUGGUGCUUGCAUGAAGAAUAAAUAGGUCAUCUGUUUAGAUCUAAUAGUCAAAUCGAAGCAAUUCAUUGAAGCAUUCCAAGCUGUUGCCCUAGACGAAAAAGUUCCUUAUUGUUCCGUGUGCGUGAAAUCUUCAGGCUUAGGGGAACAUCCAUCUAUAUAGCUAUUGACAGAUUAAUUCUGCAACGGACAGGAAAAGCAUACAUUUGGGAAUAAAAUGAUCUCAGUUUUUGCUCGAAUCAGAAUCAACUUAAUUAGGAAAGUUAUGUCCAGGUUACAUAAAGUCAUGCUACGCCGUAUCUUGAUAGUUGAGAGAAUUCUAAGAGUUCUCUCGUAACCAUUGGAGUUGACCUACUAGUUCCCCCUUUAUAUAUUGUAUGAUAUUUUAAAAUAGAUAAAUUAACAUUUUAGCCAAAUUAACAAUAAAAACAAUAAAGACAUAUAUGUAAUUUGACUACUAAUAAUAUAAAAAUAAAAAUAUAUAAACUCGAGCCAAUUCGAUGUGUCAAGUAUACUCUAAAGAAAAAUAUGUAUUUGUACAUUUUUUUCUAAUCUUUUUAAAUAACACAUGUGGACUUUUUAUAUCCUAGCCUAAGAACGGGAUCUUAAUACACUGGGAUCUUUUUUAUCCCUUUCAGUGGAGAAUUUACGAAAGUUGAAUUGGCAAAGAACGCACAAAUAAAAGGUAGUUUUUUUUUUUCCUUUCACACGCAAGCCUUAUAACAAAUUCCAAACCAAUCAUGCAAUAUCAUCAGUAAUAAGAAUAAAAAAUAUGAUUAUAAAACAUGAGUUAAAAUCCGAAUCCGAUUUUCCCAACAUAAAGUUAGAUGAGGUAAAUCUGUCGAUUGUCAAAACCCAUUAGGCAGUCGGAUAUAUUUAAACAAAAUGUAAGGGGUUAACGUGAAAUUACCCGAAUAUGCGACUGGGCGCAUCGUCUUUGUCAUCGGAAUCAUACGACUAUAAGAGCACACCCACCAUUUGUCGGAUGAGUAUCGCUGGUACUUAGCAAUCUAGUUUGAGAUUAUUUAGUAGAACUGUACUGAGACUUUUUACAUUCAGAUCAUACAUUUGUGAUUUCACUCCCCAUCCUUUCCAAAGUAGUAGAAUUUUACAGCUACGCCUAUGCAACAACAAAUAAGAGAGUAAGAAUUAUCAGAAAGAAAGCCCCUCUUUAACGAGUAAGGACUCGUCGGGGUUUUCUGAUUUUGUCUCUGUGUACCAACCUUCCAUCUUGAGCUCUUUAAACGAAAACUAAUGGGUUUCAGUAACUGGGAUUUUCGCGUUGGAUCAAGGUGAUUCAAACCAGUUCCUGGAUUAGCCCCGUUGAUUUGUAAUGGGAUUGAAUUGAAGAAAGGGCUUAUCAUGGAAAGUUUUCUUGGCGAUUUUGUGCUGCCUUUGCUGCUUUUGAUAGGUACGUGGGUCAUUUUGUAUUCCCAUUAUUCUUCCCCGACAAAGGCGUUUCUUGUUGAUCGAAUUUUACACGUCAAAGAUGAUACAAAUGAUCCAGGUGUUUGAAUAUGUCUUUGGGCAAAUAUUUUAGCAUUUAUUAGAGUUGUAAUUAUUUUUGUGGAUCUUAAGGGGGCAUAUGAUCUCGAUUGUAAACAUGUAUUUGACCCCGGGAUUGGAAAUGGGUGGCCGGAAUUGUGGAUAAAUAUUCUGUUGCAGGGUUUUGUCUAUCAUGAGAAUAGACAGAAGCACUUUCCUUAUGAUGGAAAUCAUUAUGAAACAUGUUUAGUGUAGUUGACAAGUCAUAUCUUGAAUUUUUGUAACCAUGCCUCCUCUUUUUCUUGUGCUAAGUAGUGAGACUCAACUUUAUUUGGUGUUCCCGUCUCUACUGUAACUCUUUGGACGUGUAGGAUGAAAUAUUUGUUGGUUGUGAAUAGAAACUUUGUAAAUGUAGGUGCUUCUUAUAUUGUACUACUAUCAUUGUUCGUCAUGCUUUUGUUUCUUACACAAUCAGCAAUAUCGACAUCUUUCUAUAAGCACUUAUUAGUAUUUUACUUUCUGUCCCUGCACUUACUUCUCUGCUUCCUUGCAGCUGGUCUACUAAAUUGGAGUUUGAUUUCUUUCAUUAAUUUGGUGGCUUCUCUUGUAAUUCGAUUUGUGGCCCGAAAAAGAGGUAGUUGCUUAUCCCUUUCUUGGCUUAUCAGUGUGGACCUCUUCUCUGUAGUGAUUUGUUAAACAUUAGUCUCUAGGACCAAGAGGGAGGGAGGGAGGGACGGAGGGGGGAGAUAAAUAUCUAUAUAGGAGAGAGAUAGAAAUAUAUAUAUGUAUAUGUAUAAAACUCUAUGUUGCAUUGUCUUCUCCCAACUGUUCUAACACAACUUUUUCCUUCAUUCUUUAGGAUUUCGCUUCAGAUGCAGAAAUUCGUUGCUAUGGUGCAUUUUUUUAUUUUCUCUUAUUGUGAUAUUUUCACAAGUGACCUUUCUUGUUAUAUCGGCAAUUAUGGGUUCGGAAUGGACGGUUGCAGAUGCCUGGUGGAUGAAGCUCAUUGGAUUGAUGAAGUAAUAUGAAUUUGAUUUUCUUGUGCACAGGCUACAUGUGUUGCAUUGUUUGACUUCAUUUCUCUUCUCUGCUUUUCAAUUUUAUCAUACAUCCUCUCUCAAAGUACAAGAAUUGACAUGGUUUUGCAGACUUCAAUCCUGGAGAUCUCCACUGGUUGUAUAUCUCCUGAUUAUACAACUCUUAGUUGCUGUCAUUGCGCUAACUGAGAUCCAGUGGAACAGAUUUGGCUUUUUCCGAUUACAAGAUUCUUGUUGGGCCUGUUUUUCUUCAGUGGUUGAGCAUAUAGGUUUGUAAUUAUUCACUCUAUGUCUGUUUUGUUUGAAUCUUUUAUUUCUUCAUCUAUUAUUCUCAUUAGUCAUGCAAUCGACAAGUCAUACUUAAACAUGUUACGAGUUAUGAAUCAUGUCACUAUUUUGAUAUCUGAAGACAGGUGAUUCAUUUGUAUCAGGGCAUGAAUAAGAAUAAAUGGAACAUUUCAGUGGCACCUAGUGUUUCAUAAGUAGAUUUACAUAAUCUUUCUGGCCAUGGUUAAAACAUGAGGUAAGAUUUUUUAAGGCUUGUUUAUAUGUUCAAAUAGUUUGUUAAAAAGAAUGGCACAAAAUAGGUUGUUUUGAAAAUAUACUUCAACUUUUAGUCGGGCUACUUACAGUGGCAUCUACUAGAAUGACAAAGUAAUAUAAUGAAUAUGAAAAAUGUGAGCUCUUUCUCUUUAUCUUCCUCAUGAGAUUGAGAAAGAAAUCUUCUAAUAAUAGGAAGAGAGUGCAUAAAAGUAGGAUGACAAAUCCCUAAGAGGAAAAAGAAUAAAUGUCAAAGUUCAAGAAAAAGAGUGAAUAAGCAGAUGAUCCAAGUUGUCAUACGUCGCUGAUGCAUUGGUAUAUUUUGUGAUUUUGUCUUCUUAGAUCAGCUUACUGCUGCCCUUGCUGCAAAAGUAUUGUUACUCUAUCGUGACUUGAAUGCAUAAGUCCAUUCACUGACAGCUUUUAGUUCGUACUGUAAGAACUCAUGUCUUACCCUCUCUAGACACCACGGUGGCAAAAGCCUUCUUACACUUCUUGUUUCUGAAUCAGCAAAGUUGAAAAUGAUCUAUCUGCUAUAAAUGUUUGCCCUGCUCAACUUCUUUCAAGAGCCCAACCUGUUAGCCUGUUAGUCAAAAGUGAAUAAUUAUAUAGUGAAGACUUUUACAUUGCAUGCUUUUCCUCGUUUCAAGUUUGUCAUAGAUCCUGUAGCUUGGUUAGUCUUUAGGUCAAGUAUAUUGAGCAUUAUCGGACUAAUUUUAUUCUUGCUUUUUUGCCUUCAUAUGAUGAUUGUGAUUUGAGCUCCUUUCUGACAAAAUGACAUUUUCUUCCCCUUUCUGGGAUUUUAUAUGGAAGGUUCUCGUCUUAGGGUGGCUUCCUGCUUGUUGCUGCCUGGCAUUCAGUUGGUUGUUGGAAUUAGUAAUCCUUCUUGGCUUUCUUUACCAUUUUUUGUCUGUAGCUGUGUUGGUCUUGUGGAUUGGUCUUUAACAAGCAACUUUUUAGGGCUUUUCAGGUAUAUUUUUAUUGCAGUUCUUCUUCUGUUUUGUUUUCUGUAGUAUACGUCCUCUUAUUUUGCCAAAAUAUAUGGAAAUACAUUUCUGAUGCCCAAAACCUUCUCAUUCAGUUUCCUAAUACUUUUGGUGGAUUAUUUAAUAUUCAAGGUGGUGGAAGCUUCUUUGGCUUUAUGCUGGCUUCAGCAUUUGCUUGUUGUAUGUGUAUCAGCUCCCAGUUGGCUUCCCAGAGAUUUUCAACGCGAUAGCCAAUUUCGUUGGUCUGUACAAACUUUCUCCAAAAUCUGAUUUGCAAGAAAUUUCUUCCAGUCUUUCUUUGAUGGCAUUUUACCAUGUGGUAUGCACUUCUUACCACCUUAUACAUUCAGAAUAUAGUUUGGGAUUGUUGGCGGAGUUCUAUACAGCUAUUCCUAUAGUUUCAAAAAUGAAUUUAUCAAGAUUCUAAAUUCCUAGUGACAUUUUGUGGAGUCAUUAUUAAUUUGCUAUUGUGGUCUGAGCUUUUAUGUAUGGCACAAGUAUCAGUCAUUGUUCUCCCUUUACUUUUGUUACUUUCUUGAAGUGAAAAAUGCUUAGGAUCAUGUUGGUUGGUAAAAUAAAGCUUUCUCAGCUAUUCAUCUAAUAUUAUGUUUGGAAGAAAAGGGGUUUUGCUAUGAAGAUAAUUGAUGGUCAUCUUUGCUGCAGCUAAUAAGAGGCUCACAGAAGAGUUAGUUGAAUUUUGGACUUUUAUAGCAGGUUGUUCCAUUUGUUAUACCAUACUUUUUUCUUUCAGUUUCUUCAAUAGAUUAAAGUUUAUUUCUAGGAAGAGGAGAUAGUAAAAUGAUUCAAUGUGAUUUGGAAAUACAAGGAACCCUGCUUUGGAGGGUUAUUACUAAGGAAAACAGGAGACUCUGUUGUUCUCUCUCUUAUCUGGAAUUGAUAUUCUUCAUUAUGCUUAACUUCCCUUAUUCAACGAUCUUUUUGGUGUCUGAAACUUCUUCUUUUGGGUUUGAUGGUUCCAACUUUUGACAUAGCCUCAUUGCGAUCAAAUUAGCAGCAGGAUUUAUGAGUUUGUCCAUUGUAGGUUGUUUUGUUUCCAAGUCCUUUAAAGUUGCCCUAGCAAGAAGUGAUGUCCUGGACAGGGUAGUUUCGGGCACGUGACUAACAUUCAAUUUCUACGGAAGUCUGCUGGUAUUUUACUGUAGGAUUAUAUGAGAUGACAAAUUGGGAACCAUUGCUACUGUACUGUACAGUACGGGGUACCUUGUAGGUUGAGUUAGAAUAAGUUGCAUGAGAUAGAUAAUUUGACUUUAAAAUUGAAUAGAGACAAAGAUUUGAAACACAGUAAUACAAUUCCCAGUACCCUAGUGUGAAGAUAAAGGUUCGCGAGUAGAGAAUUUGUAGUUGGCGAGAGGCAUGAUGGAACUCUGGAAGAGUAGCGACUCCUUUCUCCUAUUUUGAUGGAGAUGGUUUUUGUUUCUUGUUUCUGGAUAUUUGUGUUAGUGUUCUGGAGCCAAUUUCUAUGCAUGUUCUUGGAUUCAGUAGAUGUUCUAGUUUUACCUUGAAUUCUAAUAUGUUGAGCUUUUUGGAAGAGUAUCUUUAUCUAGCAUUACAAUAUAUUGCUUUUACUUCCUGAUCUGCUUUUCACUAGGGCUUUUUUUUGGCUUAAUUACUUCUUGGAUGGAAAUUAAAUUCCUUCAUGCUUGUUAAUCCCUUGAGAAUUAGGAUCUAGCUGAGUAUAUAUGUGUAUGUUUUAGAUAAAGAUUUUGGACUCUAAAUUUCACUUAGUUUUUGUCACUGAAUUUUGAAAUGCUUCUUCACGCUUCAUUAUCAGUAAAAUUCUUAUUGGCAGAACAUUCAGCUGUAAAAAAUGAACUUCUCCUAUAUUGUUUCAUUUGUCUCUCUCUCCAUUUUGUAGUUACAUGUAUACGAGUUUAUCUUAUGAACACUUUGAUGCUUAAUGUAAUACAGCUCUCCUGCGUGAAGUGUGAUUUGGAGGAAAUGGAUUUCCUUAUGUCCAUAAGAGAGGGAAGCUUGACCGAGCAACUUCUGCCCUCAAGGCAUCCAUUUUUUAUUCGUGAAUUGAGGUAAUUACCAUGGAACAUUUACUUUUAUCAUCUGAGUAGAAAUCAGCAGCAGUCUCUUUUAUUCUAUCCCUUGUUCUUGUUACUCCUCUUCAUUCUCUUAUUCACUUCUUUCCAUGUCUGCUUCUUUCUACCUCUGCUUAUUUUCUUCUCUACUCACUCUCUUACAUCUCACUACAACAAAUUCAUCCAGGAUAUAAGGAAGCACUUUGGUUGAUAAGAACCAAAGGUAUUUAACAUCAAGAAUGAAAAAUAGAAAUUAAUUUGCUCUUGACUCUAACUUAUUUGGGUUGAAAGGAAUAUUGUAAAUCUAAUCAACAGUCUUGAUUGACACAAUCCCCUUGAGAAAGUAAUACCCCUUCAUAGUGCUGUCAAGAGGUUGGAAUGCACAAAAAAAUCUAGGUAUUAAAGUUCUAUGAAAUGGAUAGCUAAAUUUUACAUGAUUCAAUCUGCAUUAAAAGAAAACUUUUAGAAGCAAUCAAGUAGUUUCCUUGGUUUUAUUUGUCUUCUUAUUGUACUUCCUGUUUCUAGUUCUGCCCAGAAUUUUUUUUUUAAUCCUUGGUUUUCUUAUGAUCUUCCAUUCUCAUGACAAUCUUUUGACACUAGGGGACUUCUAAGGAAGAUUGUUGUUUCUUAGUUAUUAAUUCUUCCCUCCCCCCUAACCUGCCUCUCCAAAACAUACUGUAUUCUUCCUUUUUUUUCUUUGGUUUCUUUGUUCCAUUUUCAUCUUCCAUGUUUUGCUGAACUAGUAUUGCUACAAACAGAUCUGGUGUAAGGCAUGCAAAUGUAUUUUUAAGGAGAACAGUUUUCCGGUUUUUCACUAUCAACUUUUUCACGUAUGGUUUUCCGGUAAGUAUCAUUAAUUUGUAUAAAUUGUUGUUUCUUUCCAGAUUUUGUUCCAUUUGCUCACUUAAGAAGCUCCUUAUCUAAUUAUGCUUGUCUACAAUUUACAAAAGCAUGAGGUGCGUUGAGACGUCAAAAUCCAAGACCCAAAGGAAGAUGACUUCAAGUUAGCUUUUGGAUUAAACUACUGCCCAAAGACGAGGCUUUCUCUAAAUAUAUGAAGCCCAUCUUCUUUUGACAUUCCAUUUACGAUUCAGAAACCUGUUUUUUGUCUUGAUUUCAGUUUCCCGAGUAACUAGUUGGUCCUUUUACUAAAGCAUUUGGCUGAAAAUUAGGGGAUUUUUGCGAGUCACCUUUAUCCCUUUUUGAACUAUUCACCCGAUACUGAGAUUUUUGUGGAAUCAGGUUUGCUUAGUCCUUGAUUAGAAAUUCACUUUCAAUCCUGAACACAAUAACUACAACUUGUCAUUGAAACUUGAUUGAAGUUCAGGACAAGUGUCUUUACAAGGAAAUUAGGAGAAAGAAGAGGAGAUGAGGAGUAUCUGAUGCAAGAUUUACUAGAAUUGGCUUGUAAGACUGGCUGCAUUAUUAUGUUUGUUCUGUUUGCAGUGGAAUUACAAGGCUUAUGUGCAUGCUUUUUCUGUUCAUCCAUUUAAUUGUUAAUCACAUUGGUGUUACUAAUUGGAUGCAUGCAUCACCAAUUCUUUUGCAGUUUAUUCCUGGAUUUGGAUACUGCUACUUGAUUUAUGCUCUUAAACAUGCUUCUUAACAAACUUAGAUAAGUGGAUACAUUGCUUUAACUUUUCAUUGCUUGCUUACAUCUGCUCGAGUUUUCGUGUUGGGGAGAAAAAUAUGUUUUCUACUUCAUCUUCUGGUUCAAAAUUUCUUUUUCUUCCACUUCAGAUAUCUUGCUUGGAGUUAGGACUGAUUAAAUAUGCCAAGGUGUUCAUUUUAUUCAUUUCACGUGAUGACCAAUAACACGAGCUCAUGAACCCAAUUUCUGCAAACCUUUGCUAUUUUAUCUGAUUAAUGCCAUUCAUUCAAAAGAAAUGCCAUUUAUUUACCCUUUUGAAUGUUGAAAGAGCCUUUUUAAGCAGAAAUUAUCUGCAGAGCCUGGUUGGUGGACGAGUACUUUCAUGCAACUGCUGAUGCACUGGUUAAUAUCACAACUUUGUUGGAAGAAACUUAUAGUUGUAGAAAAAUUAAAUUUCCAGCCUAUUGUGUGAAAACUUUGGCUUAGAGUAACAAGUCAGAGUCAUCAUUGCCGUUGUUUUAAUUUAGUAUUUUCUAAUUAUGUUUCUACAUUUCUUGAGAUUGGUUGGUUAAAACUAACUUUUGUUGGUUAUUAAUAUUCUUGUCAUUGUAUUAUCAUUAUCAAUUCUUAUGUUUUAAACUUCCAGUGAUCAAUUUGACAGGUCUCCUUGUUUGCACUUACAUUUUGGAGCUUCCACUUCGCGAGUAUAUGUGCAUUUGGAUUGCUUGCAUAUGUUGGGUACAUUUUAUAUGUUUUCCCUUCCUUGUUCCGUCUGCACCGAUUAAAUGGGUUGCUUCUUGUCUUUAUUCUCUUGUGGGCGGUCAGCACAUAUGUCUUCAAUGUGGCAUUUGCUUUCAUGAAUUGGAAACUUGGAAAGGUUAAACCCGUGUGGCCAAAUUGUAUUUUUUUUCUUCAACUUCAUUGUUUUUAUGAUAAUUGAAAACCUUAUUCUCUUUGCAUCAGGACAUGGAAAUCUGGGAGAUGGUUGGGCUGUGGCAUUAUCCCAUUCCUGGCUUCUUCCUACUUGCUCAAUUUUGUCUUGGAAUUCUUGUUGCUCUUGGUAACCUAGUUAACAAUACUGUUUUUCUCUGCAUAUCGGAUGAGGAGGGGCAGUCAUCAAAGGACUACUACAAAGAGGAAGGUCAUUAGAUGCUAUACAGUGAUGCCAAAUUUCAUGAUGGUUCUUCCUUCUUGAUAAAAAAUACAGAAAUUCUGUCCUUGCUGUGUUUUAGGUGUUUUAAAGUGUUCUCUUCCUGUUAAGAUAUAUAGCUUCAAAACGAUUUUGUACAAACAAUUCCAAUUCUUGUUAUUAGUUAUGUUCCUAUUUUUUGUUCGACUCUUUUGUUUUUCAAGCAUUUUAUUGAUUUGAGUGAGCCUUCUGGUUGUUGACUGUAAGGCAUGUCUUUAUUAGCUGUUGUGCUUCUUAUUGUGCUGCUUAUUGGAUAACCAACUCAAGUUUUGUUACAUAUUUAUCCUUUUUUCUUCGUUUCGGUAAAUAUUUCUAAUCAACUUUACCACCAGUUAGUUGGACUGGGUGGCAAAUUGUUUUGAAUCCACUCUUAAUGCUGAUACUUAGCUGCUUAUAUUUAUAGCUAUAGUAAGUCAAUGUUGCUUCCUUUGCCCCCUUUUUGCUGUAUUUUUCUAUUUAUCAUUAAUUUGUUUUCAAAUUAUCUUUUUAGGUGCAUCUUGCUAUUGCAUAGACAAGAAUAGUUUUCCCUCUCUCAUCAUAGACAAUGUACUAGUAACUUUUGACCUUUGAGUUUCUAAUGUUGGUGCUGCUUUCUAAUACGCAAUUGUCUUCUAUGAAUGCAGUGAAUGAAGAAACCAAAGUCCUUAUUGUGGCUACAAUAGCUUGGGGAUUGCGCAAAUGUUCUCGUGCCAUCGUACUGGUGCUGAUAUUCCUUAUAGCAAUGAAACCUGGUUUCAUCCAUGCCGUGUAUGGUAUGUCAGCACAGAUACUGUCAUUCUUCUACACUAAUGAUAUCUGCAAUUGGCUAGGGCAGUUCAUUCUGUGUGGUUAAUUGAGUUAUAGGAGGGAUUGGAUUAGGAGCAUUUGUCCAAUCUGAUUCUGUACAGUUUUUUGAAUUUGUCUCAAAUCCUGUCAUCUUUUGCAGUGAUAUUCUUCUUCAUGUAUCUUUUGAGCCAUGAAAUCAGUAAAAGAACGCGCCAAUCUCUGAUUCUUCUUUGUGAGGCUCAUUUUGCCAUACUGUACAUUCUUCAGCUUAAUUUGGUCUCAAAAACUCUGGAGAAGAAAAGCUCCUUAAGCAUGGGAAUCCUUUCUCAGUUAGGUACGGUUAUCUGCAUCAUGGAAACUUAUGUUUUGGGAGGUGUGGAAUAAGGGUGUGCCCCUGCCAGAGGGUAGUUAAAGUGACAGAUAGCAAAUCAUAUCUCUUUCUCUCUCUCUCUCUGCUUUUAAAUUUCUUGGCCAUAUAUGAUUUUUACUUAAUGUUCUUUGGCAAAAUUCUGUAGGUCUCCUUGAAAGUGAUAGUUCUUGGGAUUUCCUCGAAAUAGCUCUGCUUGCAUGCUUUUGUGCAAUUCAUAAUCAUGGGUUCGAAAUGUUGUUUUCAUUUUCUGCAAUCAUACAGCACACACCUAGUCCUCCAGUUGGAUUUAGCAUUUUGAGAGCUGGAUUGAACAAAUCAGUUUUGCUGUCAGUCUAUGCCACCUCAAGCACCAGGGACAGUCAUGACAAUGCCUCCCAUGGUAAAUCUUGCCGCAAUUUGCUUCAUUACUCGACAUUUUAUAUGUAGUCAUUGCGUAAUAUAGUUUGUUGCUGAAAUCGGUUCCUGGAUCUGUGGGUUUGUCCUUGAUGGAUUAUUUUAGCUGAUUAUGGAUUCUGAUUUUGGAUAAUGAGUUUUUGUGAUGUUUCGCUUGCUUUGGUAUUCAGAUAAUAGAUUUUUUUUAAUAGCUAAAAUCCAUAAUCAACCAAAGAGUAGCUUUUUCUGAUUCUGAUUAUUCUAUAUAAUCACUUUUGAUAAUCUUAUAUAAUCACUUUUGAUAAUCAAAAAUAGCAAAAUCUAGAGUAAACGAGACCAGGGCCUAUGUCAUGAUAAGCUGUUUUUUGUCAAUUUUUUUUCCUAAGUGGCUGAUCAUGAAUUAGUUAUUUAUAGAGGCAUCCCUGUCACUUCUUCGUUUCUUCGACUGGGAGAUGGGGUUGCAUUUAAGUUUUACAAUUCUGGUUAACUAAGAAUAAAGGAAUACUGUUUCCAUUCUCUUCAUUCUUUAUUGCUUUAUUACUAGCUUGCUAUUGUUUCAGAUUGAUUUUUGUUGCUCUUGUUUCAGAGAAAAGAAUUGCUCUGUAUCUUGGCGCGAUAGGGAAGAAAUUUUUGUCUGUGUAUAGAUCAUUUGGAACCUACAUCGCGUUUCUGACCAUUCUUCUAACAGUUUACCUGGUGAGGCCUAAUUGUUUGGCAUUUGGGUACAUUUUCCUUCUCCUUGUCUGGAUUAUCGGAAGACAACUUGUGGAAAGAACAAAACGACGUCUUUGGUUUCCACUAAAAGCGUAUGCAAUCAUAGUCUUCAUUUUCGUCUAUAGUUUGAGCAUUUUCCCCACUUUUGAGGCUUGGAUGUCUGCAAAAUUCAUUCUUCAGUUGUAUUUUGGCUAUAACCCCGGUUCUUCAUUACUGGAAAAUGUUUGGGAGUCUUUAGCAAUUGUAGUCGUAAUGCAACUUUAUAGCUAUGAGAGGAGACAGAGCAAAAGUGUUAGAUCAGAGGAAUCAGAUUUAUCUCAAUUUGGGAUUUUGGGGUUCAUCAGACGCUGCCUAAUCUGGCACAGUCAUAAGAUCCUGUUGAUUGCAUUGUUUUAUGCUUCAUUAUCUCCAAUAAGCGCAUUUGGUGUUUUGUACCUUCUUGGUGUUGUCUUUUGUUCAACUUUAUCUAAAGCUUCCCGAAUUCCAUCCAAAUCAUUCUUGAUCUAUACGGGUGUUCUAGUGACAUCUGAGUAUCUGUUUCAGAUGUGGGGUGAAUAUGCUGAAAUGUUUCCUGGACAAAGGCACUAUGAUCUAUCCCUCCUCCUGGGGUUUCAGGUAUACAAACCAAAUUUCUGGGGUAUAGAAGCUGGCUUGAGGGCAAAAGUUCUUGUGAUUGCUGCAUGUACCCUUCAGUAUAAUGUCUUCCAUUGGUUGGAGAGGAUGCCCACUUUUCUUGUAGAUGUAGUUAAUUCGGAGGAGCCUUGCCCACUUUUUGUCUCUGCAGAAGACGUCCUACCAGUUGUUUCAGUGCCCAAUGGUGAAAAUGACGCAUCAUCAAGUUUCAAUGAACGAUCUUCAAGAAAGAUAGGAGUCACGAGUAGUUCAUUGCCUACAUUCAGCCCUGGUCUUUACCAAUCAUCUCAUGAUGUGUCCACGGCUGGAGUAGGAUAUAAGGAUCACAAUACUAGAAAAUACUCAUUUGGGCAUAUAUGGGGGAGUGUGAAGGAGAGUCAUAAGUGGAACAAGAAGAGGAUUCUUGCCUUGAGAAGGGAGAGGUUUGAAAUCCAAAAGACUACCUUGAAGAUAUAUUUGAAGUUUUGGAUAGAGAACAUGUUUAACCUUUUUGGCCUUGAGAUCAACAUGAUUGCACUACUAUUGGCCAGUUUUGCUCUUCUGAAUGCAAUUUCUUUGCUGUAUAUUGUAUCACUUGCAGCUUGUGCUCUUUUAGAGCGGCAUAUACUUCGGAAACUGUGGCCUAUGUUCGUCUUCUUGUUUUCUCUUAUCCUUGUGUUUGAAUACUUUGCCAUGUGGAAGCACCUCAUGCCGUUGGAUCCAGAUGUUUCAAGUGACACUAAUGUGCAUUGCCAUGAUUGCUGGAAAAUCUCAAACUUAUAUUUUGCUCAUUGCAGGAGCUGUUGGUUGGGUAUGAAUCUGUAAUUCAUGUUGAACUUCUCAGAUUAGAUGUAUUAUCCACUGCCCAUGUUCUUUUUUCCCUAUUUGCUAAGUAUUUGACUGCUCAAUUAUAGAAUUUCAAAAACUUGAUCUAGCAUGUAGUUUCUGAAAGGUUGGUCUUGCACUCACUCACACACACUCUCUUUGUCUCUCACAGAGACACACAUGCAGACACCCACACAGACAUGCGUGCACAUUUUGGGGCUGGUCAAUACGGGCUUGGUGGUAUGAGGUAUUUUAGCAUGGUAAUAGCUACAUCUCAGGCUUCACUUGCAUUUGUUGGGAAUAUAGUUUGAAAAGAUUUUUUUUCCUUCCUCUCAUUUUUUAUCUUUCUUCCAGUUGAGUUUAGGCCGAGACAUCCUUUUUUCUUUGUGGAGGCCCCCCCUGGCCUUAUUCUUCUGCUAAUAAUUUUUUCUUUAUCAAAUUUCCUGUAUACAAAAGUUCCUAUUUUUUCAGUUACAUUUAAUUUUCGAGGUGGCCUAGGAGAUAAAUGAACAUAGUGCACUUCUGAGACAAUGCCUAACCACGUGCUGAAUUUUCCAUUUCCUGUCAAGUACUGAUUUUCUGAUGUAUCUAAUUCAACCAAGACUUAUAUUUAACUGCUUAUUUUGUUGCAGGGCUUAUUGUUGAUGAUCCCCGAAUGCUGAUUAGCUGCUUUGUCGUCUUCCUGCUUGCAUGUUUUAAGCUCCGUGCAGAUUGUGCUUCAAGUUUCUCUGGAUCAUUUACAUAUCGCCAGAUGGUUUCUCAAAGGAAAAACGCUUUUGUUUGGAGAGAUCUGUCAUUUGAAACCAAAAGCAUGUGGACUUUCCUUGACUAUUUGCGGCUUUAUUGCUAUUGUCAUCUGUUAGAUCUUGUGCUUGCUUUGGUUCUGAUUACAGGAACCCUUGAAUAUGAUAUUCUGCACCUAGGAUAUCUUGCUUUUGCUUUGAUUUUCUUUCGGAUGAGGCUUACGAUAUUAAAAAAGAAAAACAGCAUCUUUAAGUAUCUGCGCAUAUACAAUUUUGGAGUUAUUGUUCUUUCUCUUGCAUAUCAAUCUCCUUUUGUGGGUGAUUUUAGUGGGGGAAAGUGUGAAACUAUUGAUUACAUAUAUGAGGUGAUUGGAUUCUACAAAUAUGACUAUGGGUUCCGGAUAACCUCCAGAUCUGCUUUAGUUGAGAUAGUCAUUUUUGUUCUGGUAUCACUACAGUCAUACAUGUUUUCCUCCCCUGAGUUUGAUUAUGUAUUUCGGUAUCUUGAAGCGGAGCAAAUUGGGGCUAUUGUACAUGAGCAAGAGAAGAAAGCUGCAUGGAAAACUGAACAGUUUCUUCACAUUCGUGAAUCUGAAGAGAAAAAGCGCCAGCGCAACUUCCAAGUAGAGAAGAUGAAGUCCGAGAUGCUUAAUUUACAAAUCCAGCUUCAUAAUAUGAACUCUACAUCUGCGUGUGAUGACUCUUCUCCUGCAAGUGAAGGGCUUAGAAAGAGGAAGAAUGCCACAGUAAAUACAAAUAUGAACAGUGGAAUUCUUGAAAAGCAGGAUAUUAAUACUCAUCCUGAUUCAGGUUUUGCAUUCGAUCUGUAUGGUUCUCCAAGUAAUGUAAGAGGAGAGAGUCCUUUUACAAUGGAAUUUGCAAAGCAACCAAUAGAAUCUCCUCUUGGAGAGAUCACUGAGCUUGAGGAAUGUACAAGUGAAGGUUCAUUUCUGGAGUCUGACAGAGAAAGGAAAGGCAGAGGCCGAGCAAGUGAAAACCCUUUAGUCUCUGCUGUACAGUUGAUUGGUGAUGGUGUUUCUCAAGUGCAAUCAAUAGGAAACCAAGCAGUUAACAAUAUUGUGAGCUUUCUUAAUAUUGCACCUGAAGAUUCAGAUACAAAUGAGCACACAGCUGCUGAGGAUGGGGUCUUUCAGGAGAGUGAGAGCCAAAAUGUGAGGUACGCAUGCUUGGAUCGUGCCUCUUCUGUGCAAUCUGACAGAAGUAGAGCAUCUGAUACUGCAAGUUUGCAGAUUGGAAGGAUCUUUGGCCAUAUUUGGUCUCAGAUGCGGUCGAAUAAUGAUGUUGUUUGUUACAUUUGCUUUGUACUGGUAUUUCUGUGGAACUUUAGUUUGCUUUCGAUGGUUUAUUUGGCAGCUCUAUUCUUGUAUGCUCUUUGUGUCAACACAGGGCCAAGUUACACUUUUUGGGUUAUCAUGCUAAUCUACACUGAAAUUUAUAUAUUGAUUCAGUACCUGUAUCAAAUUGUGAUCCAACAUUGUGGUUUCAGCAUCCAGUCAAGCCUUCUUCAAGAACUUGGGUUUCCAACAAAGAGGAUAAAGUCAUCAUUUGUGAUAAGUACAUUGCCUCUUUUUCUAGUGUAUCUAUUUACUCUUGUUCAGAGCUCUAUAACUGCCAAAGACGGUGAAUGGUUUUCGCCAGGGUUUAGUAAGGGGAGAUUGUUGCACCGCAAGGAGGUUCUGCAGGUUUCUACUUUGAGUGGGACAGCAAAGGAGCUGGUCCAGCUAGUGGAAAAAAUGGUCAAAAUGGUGAUUAGCAGCUGCAGUACAUAUUGGAAAUCACUGACACAGGAAGCAGAAUCUCCUCCAUACUUUGUCCAGUUGUCUAUGGAUGUUCAUUUGUGGCCAGAAGAUGGAAUUCAACCAGAGAGGAUAGAAUCUGGAAUUAAUCGUCUGCUACAGCUUGUUCAUGAUGAGAGAUGCAAAAAUGAAAAUCAUUGUUCUUGUGCUAGUAGGGUUCAAAUUCAAAGUAUUGAAAAGAGUACAGAAAACCCAAAUGUUGCCUUAGCUGUUUUUGAGGUGGUUUAUGCCUCACGUAGUGAGGAAUGUAAUGCCAAAGAACAGUACGAGUCCCUAACACCAGCGGCUGAUGUAGCAAAAGAGAUCCUUGAAGCACAUAAUGCUGGUUUUACAGAGGGAAUUGGAUUUCCUUACCAUAUAAUCUCUGCUAUUGGAGGUGGUAAAAGAGAAGUUGAUCUCUAUGCCUACAUAUUUGGUGCAGACUUGUCUGUUUUCUUUUUGGUUGCUAUUUUUUAUCAAUCUGUCAUAAAAAACAAAACUGAGUUUCUCGAGGUUUAUCAGCUUGAGGACCAAUUUCCCAAAGAGUUCGUAUUUAUUCUAAUGGUAUGUAUAUAUUACCUUUUUUUUCUUUGCCUUUUGAUUUCCUAAAAAUAAUGUUGAAAUCUUGUAGCUAAAAGAAAAUAUGAAGAGCUAGGAUGAAAUAAUUUACUUAAUCAACCUGGCCUAUUUGCAGUAGCAAGCAGAUGCUUUGGCCUAGUUAGCAAUCUUGAUACUUCAUUUGAAUAUUUCUUAUUUUGGUUGAGCAAUGCUUUUUGAUUGUUAUAGCAGUGGAUAAUAUUAUGUGUUUUAUAGCUGCAUUCCUUUAAGAUUAUCUAACUUGUAAUAAAUUUUAUUCCCAUGUUUAUGCAGGCUAUCUUCUUCUUGAUCGUAGUUGAUCGUGUUAUCUACCUCUGUUCUUUUGCCACAGGAAAAGUUAUAUUCUAUCUGUUCAAUCUUAUCCUUUUUACCUGUGCGGUCACACAGUAUGCCUGGCACAUGGAUACCUCCCAGCAAAACACUGCAGGUUUAGCUCUUCGUGCAAUAUAUCUGACUAAAGCAAUUUCUCUGUCACUACAAGCUAUGCAAAUCCGAUAUGGGGUACCACAUAAGAGCAUCCUGUACCGGCAGUUCCUCACCAGCAAAGUUUCCCGAGUGAAUUAUCUAGGUUAUCGGCUUUACCGUGCCCUGCCUUUUCUAUAUGAACUACGAUGUGUUCUUGAUUGGUCGUGCACUACAACAGCAUUGACAAUGUAUGAUUGGCUGAAGGUGAGGUUAUCCAAUGUUUUGUUUUCUGCUAUACCUUGGUAAGGUGCAAAAAGACUUUCAAUAAGUGCAUCUUGUGAGCAUGAUCAUCGUUGUCUGGCCUCAUAUGUGCUUGAAGUUUGUGAAUGGCCCUGCCAGGUUCAUAAAAAAUUCAAGUUCUAUAAAAGGCAAAAUGGACCAAAUUAAGCCAUUGAAUGGAGUUACUGAAUACAUAUAUGUGGCACAAAACUUUUUGUGGGUAGGUUGUCCAGCAUCUUUGUCAAAGCUAAAACACAAUCUCUUUGCAUCAUCCAAAUGAGUGGACUUUACAACACAACACAGAUGUCAAAACCUUGCAAUGGAGCUUUUCAAUCUUUAAGAAAAAUGGUCUUUAUAAGUCAAAAUUGGUUAUGAAUUUCAGUUUAGUCUACAUUCUUUGUUCUAACCACAUUUUUGUACUUUGAUUUGUUCCUCUGGCAUCUGCACGAAAGCGAAAUUGAAGUUGGUUGUACAGCCUAAUUAUUCUAAGGUGACAUAAUAAAUUAAGGACCUAAUAUACCAAUCAUCCUGAAUGAUUGGUAUGGUUUGUUGGACUAAGCUGGUUAUUAUUGCAUUUCCAAUGGAUGCUUGGAAUUCUUCAGGCAGCCUUUUGUUGUGUUACUGCUUGGAGCUGUUAUUUCUAUUGUGGAAUCAAUGGCUUUGACCUGGUUGUCUCUAGGAUAGCUCUUUCAGAUUGGUUAAUUAGUUUUCUUGAUCUGGUAAUAUACAGAGAUGUCAAGAAGUUGAAGGAAUUGUUUUGGAGAACUGAAGUUUGUAUAUUUCUUUUUGUAGUUGGAGGACAUUAAUGCAAGCUUGUACCUCGUCAAAUGUGAUGCUGUUCUUAAUAGGGCUAGACACAAGCAAGGGGAGAAGCAGACCAAAUGGACCAAGUUUUGCAAUGGGAUAUGCUUAUUCUUCAUUUUAAUUUGUGUAAUUUGGGCUCCUAUGCUGGUAAGUAAUUCCAUUCUAUCUGCACUUAGUGUGUAAUAGUGACCAUGCUGGUAAGUAAUGAUACUGUCUUUUUAAAUGUUCAAAUGUGGAUGGGGAAAAUGUGCAGUUGUAAAAUCAAUCCAAGUUAGCUUAACAAUAUCUUUAAUCACUCAUCAUUUUUGGGUUUUUUUGAGUAUUCCACCAUCGUUCUUGGAGGAGAUAACUUCAGUUAGUCAAAAUUUACUAGGCUGUGUGAGAUAACUUUGGUAACGCAAAAUUUACUAGGUUGUGUGGGUAAAGGAUUAAGCCUGUAUGUGGUCUAUCUUGUGUGCUGUCUUACCUGGACAGGUCUCCACUCUGAUGGUUAGCUAAAAUGUUAAACUAUUCUUAGUAUUAAAACCAUUGGAGCUGGAUUGGCAUUUUAAUGAAAAGAGUGCAGAUAUUAUGUUGCAGGGUUUGACAAAUAUUUUCCAAAUCAUAAGCUCCAAUACACCAAGCAAUAUGAUAUUUGAGAUGAGGUUCUUCUGCAGCCGGAUGUUAUGAUAAAUCCUGUAGAAGCUUGCCCAAAAAGUUGUGAAAAUUGUGAAUGGAUUUAUUUUAUUUUUCCAUUUUAUCCAAAACCUUUGAAGAAAGUACUGUAAUUUGGAAUUAAAGAAAUGCUCUCCCUAUCUCACUAUGUUGUGGGCUUAAAUGCCAUUUGGUACUUGGCUAUUUCUAAAUUGGUCAUCAUGGGUUUUGGAUUGCUCUCAUCUGAAAACUACUCCAAUUGGAAAGGUGGUAGUUCCAUGACAUGUAGCAGAUCCCGUGGUUAUGAUUUCUUGUUUAUACAUGGAAACCUUUAAACAAUGUAAUGUCUGACAAACAUGAUCAAGGUCAACUUACACUCCAGGUGCAAGUCUCAAUAAAGUUACACUACCAAUUAUGUGUUUUAGGGGGUAAAAUUUUGAGAUAUUUAUGUUUGGAUUACGUCAUAUCUCCUUGAUUGAUAGCAAUCAAGUUUUCUAGUCAGUGAAAUACAUUAUAUAACAUACUGAGAAAGUGUCAUAAUGUAGUCUUCUAGGAUUGGGUUUCUUUUACCACUUUAAUGAGCUGAAUUUAGUUUAGAUUUUUAUAAAAUUCAUUAUACCUGAUAAUUUCUACAUACCAUUAUGAACUCAUUUUCAUAGUUUGGUCUGCAUGGUAAGUUCUUCAGCAAUGAAUUUGCUCAAACUUGUUUACAUGGAUGCCUCAACAAGAACUAUCCUUUAAAAUCUAGCCUAUCAGAGGACUUUGAACUUGCAUUAUCUGCUGACCUAGGUGAUUAUCUAGCGGCCCUAGAGCUGCUGAUCAACAAUUUAAUCAAGCUUUUUCUAUUUUUCUGUUGAUGAGACUAGAUUUGUCCAUGUGAUGCUGUUGUUCAUUUUUAAUAUGGGAGUUGGUGGAUUCAAUGCUUUUGAUAGGUCAUGAAUUCAGUAGAUUUUUUCCAUAUUCCUUGUGAUUUUUUUGGUUUCUUCCCAAUAGAAAAUGCAGCACAUUAUGGUUAAUUUAGCUCUUGAUCCUACUAUUAUUCCGUAAGCAAAAAUUUAUCAAACUGUAGUAAUUUGUUAGACUGCUAAAUUUUUGGGAAGCACCUCAAUGGAGUAGCUACUUGGAUUUUGACUAUAUAAAAGGAAAUGAUAUGUUCCAUCUAGAGCUGUAAACGAGCCGAGUCGAACCGCGUAUCUCAUGUUUGAGCUCUGUUCGUUAAGUGAUUCGAACAACGUUCGUGUUCGUUCGUUAAUUUUCGAACUCCAAACCUGUGUUCGUGUUCGGCUCGUUAAGCAAAGUUCAUGUUCGAGUUCGAGUUCGUGUUCGGCUCGUUUAACAUAAACGAGCCGUUUGCGAACAUGCUCGAAUCCAAAUUAUUUUAAGCCUUAAAUAUGCCAUACAAAUCAUUAAUCAUUCUCUAAAAUAAUUAAAGCACUAAGUGACUAAAUUCUAUUAUUCAUUAACUAUAUAACUAACAUUAACAUAAAAACAACAAAUAAAACAAAGCAAUUUGCCCUCCAAAUAUAAAAGUCCAGCCAAAAAAUUAACCCUAAAAUUUGUCAAAUGAUAAUUAUGUCCAUGUUCGCGAAUGUUCGUUAAAACUCGCGAACAUGCUCGUGUUCGCUCGAUUGUUAAUCGAACAAAAAAAUUCGUUCGAACUCGGUUCGUUCGAACUCGGUUCGUGGGGGUCGUGGAGGUCGAGGCACCCGUGAGUGCAAUCAUUGUGGUUUAAAGAAUCACACUCGUGAUACUUGUUGGGAUUUAAAUGGAAAACCACCUCGGUUUGUUAAUACGGUUACCACUGACCAAACUGAAUCAAGUUCUUUAGCACAAGGGUCUCAGAAGACUGUUACCAUAUCUGAGGAAGAUUAUAUCAAAUUUCUGCAGUACCAAACUGCAAAUCACGCAUCUCUUCCCUCUACUUCUGUAGCACAAAAAGGUAAUGCUAUGGCUUGUUUCUCCACAUCAUCUAAUUUUGACUCAUGGAUCAUUGAUUCCGGAGCUACUGAUCAUAUGUCAGGUACCUCUAGAAAUUUUUCUAAUUUUCAAGAGUCUGCUUCCUUCCCUCAUGUUACUUUAGCUGAUGGAUCUACAACUAAAGUUAAAGGACUAGGCACUGUAGAAAUUAACUCAUCUCUUCCGCUGCCUUCUGUUCUUUACGUUCCCAGUUUGCCUUUUAAUCUAAUGUCCGUUAGUAAGCUUACUAAAUCUCUACAGUGUUCAGUUAUUUUUUCUCUUGAUUUUGUUGUCAUUCAGGAUUUGAAGACAAAGAGGACGAUUGGUGGAGGACAUGAGCAUAAUGGUCUUUACUUUCUCAACUCUAAUGGUCCGAUUGCGUGCCCUGCUACUGUUUCUCCUCUUGAAAUUCACUGUCGUUUGGGUCAUCCGUCUCUACAAAAUUUGAAGAAGUUGGUCCCUACCUUGAGUCAGUUGUCUUCAUUAGAAUGUGAGUCUUGUCAAUUAGGAAAGCAUCAUCGUGUUUCUUUUGUCCCUAGGGUCAAUAAACGGGUUUCGGAACCCUUUUUGUUAGUUCAUUCUGAUGUUUGGGGUCCUAGUCGAGUAACUUCAAAGUUAGGUUUUAAAUAUUUUGUAAUCUUUGUUGAUGAUUUUUCCAGAGUUACAUGGCUUUAUUUAAUGAAAGAUCGUUCAGAACUAUAUUCCAUUUUUUGUGCAUUUGUUACAGAAAUAAAGACUCAAUUUGGUGUGCCUGUACAUAUACUUUGCAGUGAUAAUGCGAAAGAAUAUUUUUUCACUCCUUUUGAUACCUUUAUGACUAAGUCCGGUAUUCUUCAUCAGUCCUCUUGUCCUCACACUCCACAACAGAAUGGAGUUGCUGAAAGAAAAAUUGGACAUUUAAUCGAAGUUGCUCGGAUACUUUUGUUGCACAUGAAUGUACCCAAACAAUUUUGGAGUGAUGCAGUUUUAACUGCAUGUUAUUUAAUUAAUCGCAUGCCAUCUGAUAUUCUUGGAGGCCAACUACCUCACUCCAUUCUUUUUCCUCAGGACCUUAUAUUUAAAUUACCUCCUCGUAUUUUUGGUUGUGUGUGUUUUGUUCAUCAGCUUGCUCCCGGGGUGGAUAAAUUAGAUUCUCGUGCCAUUAAGUGUAUUUUCUUAGGAUACGCACGAGCGCAAAAGGGGUAUAGAUGUUACAGUCCAGUUUUAAAUCGUUUUUUCACUUGUGCUGAUGUUACUUUCUUUGAAUCCACUCCUUAUUUUAUGAAGCAAGGUAUGUCUUGUGAGUUAGACCAGUGUUCCUCUUUUUCUCCUCCUGUUUUACCAAUCCCUUCAUCUUUAUUACCUGAGUUAUCGGGUUCACCAGAUUCCACCACUCGAUUAUCUUGUCCUAAUCUUCAAGUUUAUUCUCGUCGUUCCAUGGUUGAGAAAGCUCCUGAUAUGCUACGCACUCCACCAAUUAACUCUCAUUCUUCAGAUCCAGGUAUGACGCCCUCUUGUGAGUCAGAUUUUCCUAUUGCUUUACGUAAAGGUAAGAGACAUUGUACUUCUCAUCCUAUUUCUAAUUUUGUCUCUUAUUCUCGUCUCUCUCUGUCAUAUUCUUCUUUUGUUGCAUCUCUUGAUUCGAUAUCCAUUCCUAAGUCUAUUACCCAUGCUCUCAAUGAUCCUGGCUGGAGGUUAGCUAUGCAGGAAGAGAUGCUUGCUUUGGAGAAAAAUGGUACUUGGGAUCUUGUCCCUCGUCCUUCAGGUAAGCCUGUUGUUGGUUGUAAAUGGGUGUACACUAUAAAGGUGCAGCCUAAUGGUUCUAUUGAUAGAUUGAAGGCUCGUCUGGUAGCUCGAGGAUUUACUCAGGUGUAUGGAGUUGACUACGUAGAAACAUUUUCUCCUGUUGCAAAGAUUACCUCGGUUCGCCUUCUUAUCUCUUUGGCAGCAACUUACAAUUGGCCAUUGCAUUAGUUGGAUGUGAAAAAUGCAUUUUCUGCAUGGAGAUUUGGAAGAAGAGGUAUAUAUGGAACAACCUCCUGGAUUUGUUGUUCAGGGGGAGAAUUCGCAGUUGGUUUGUUGUUUGAAAAAAUCCUUAUAUGGAUUGAAACAGUCUCCAAGGGCUUGGUUUGGCCGGUUUAGUAGUGUGGUCAUGGAGUUCGGUCUGACGAGAUGUGGAGUAGAUCACUCUGUAUUUUAUGGGCAUUCUAAUGCUGGUAAAAUUUUAUUAGUUGUUUAUGUGGAUGAUAUUGUGAUUACAGGUGAUGAUGUUGUGGGGAUCCAGAAACUUAAAUCCAAUCUGCAGGCAAACUUUCAGACAAAGGAUUUAGAUCAUUUACAGUAUUUUCUGAGUAUUGAGGUAGCUCGGUCUAAAUAUGGGAUUUAUUUAUGUCAAAGGAAAUAUGUACUCGAUAUGUUGAGUGAAGUUGGGAUGUUAGGUUGCCGACCUGUGGAUACUCCUAUGGAUCCCAAUGUGAAAUUAGCAAGAGAUCAAGGAGCAUUACUUGAUGAUCCUAAGCAAUAUCGAAAACUUGUGGGUAAGUUAAAUUAUCUCACUGUAACGAGACCUGACAUUUCGUUUGCAGUGAGUGUUGUUAGUCAAUUUCUUGAUACCCCUCGUACUAGUCAUUGGGAUGCUGUUAUACGGAUUCUCAGGUAUCUUAAGGGUGCUCCUGGAAAAGGGUUGCUGUAUCAAAAUCAUGGACACACUGAUAUUGAAGGAUAUAGUGAUGCAGAUUGGGCCGGUUCUGCCUUAGAUCGAAGAUCGACCACAGGAUAUUGUGUGUUUGUUGGUGGUAAUUUAGUGUCGUGGAAGAGUAAGAAGCAAACAGUUGUCUCCAGAUCAAGUGCAGAAUCUGAAUACCGUGCUAUGGCUCACACUGUGUGUGAGUUGGUUUGGUUGAAAAGCAUGUUAGUUGAAAUUGGGUUUGAGUAUAAACAACCUAUGAAUUUAGUGUGUGAUAAUCAGGCGGCUGUCCAUAUUGCGUCUAAUCCAGUGUUUCAUGAAAGGACAAAACAUAUUGAAGUUGAUUGUCAUUUCAUUCGAGAGAAAUUACUUGAUGGAGUCAUCAAGACAUCUCAUGUACCGUCUGCAGAUCAAUUGGCUGAUUUGUUUACCAAGAGUUUAGGGGGCUCUAGGGUGAAAUACCUUUGUAACAAGUUGGGUGCUUAUGAUAUAUAUGCUCCAACUUGAGGGGGAGUGUUAGGAGAAUAUUAGUAUUCUUGUAGAUAAUAUAUUAGUAAGGGUAUUCUUGUAAAUAGUCCGUUAGGUUUGUACUCCUAUAAAUAUUAGUUGGUCACUCAUAAUACUGUGACUAGAUGUUUUCCUCCCAAGAUACCUGUUUACAGUUUCGAACGAGCCUUUCACAAAGACAAACGAGUUGAAACGAACCGAGCUACCGAACAGCUCGGUUCGUUUAACAGCUCUAGUUCCAUCUGCUUCUAGCUAGGUAAAUAAUCAUCUGCCUGCAUGUCGACUGGCUCACUAUUUGUAACUGAACAUAGUCUUUUGCUCUCUAAGUACAGAUAAAGUCAAAUUGGAACUGCAGUGUAGUUAUUUGUCUACAUUGAUUUGAAACUGGAAUCGCUGCACUCAAAUGUGAAUAGCGUACUUUGCUUUAUUUCAGUGAUGGAUCCACUAAGUAGACUAUAAAUGCAGAUGUAUAGCAGUGGUAAUCCAACAAACAUUGCGAAUCCCAUAAAUGAUGCAACUGUUCAGCUGGAUAUCAAGACAGGUGGUGGAAGGUUGACGUUGUACCAGACAACUCUUUGUGAAAAAAUUUCGUGGGAUCAGCUGAACACAGUCAUUGAUCUUGAUCCUCAAGGUUAUUUGGAUACAUACAAUGUGCGUGACAUCCAACUGGUUUGCUGUCAAUCUGAUGCGAGUACUCUGUGGCUUGUCCCUCAUCUGGUGCAGAGAAGGUUCCUUCGGUCUCUCAAUGAAGAGAUGAAUAUCAAGUUUUCUUGGAUUCUUACCAGAGACAGACCAAAGGGCAAGGAAGUUGUUAAAUAUGAAAGAACAGUUGAUCCAAUGGAUUGCCCAAAACCAUCAGAGGUUGAGGCAGUGUUUAAUGGCACUAGUAGUAGUUUUCGGGUGCGAAACGUCUAUCCAAGAUAUUUUCGCGUUACUGGUUCGGGUGAUGUUAGGCCUUUUGAACAGGAGGUAUGCUUUUUCCUAAUGUUCUUCCAUCAUCAGCCACCAACCAACACUUACCCUUCUCUACAAUGUAAUGUUGUGCUUCUACAUUUCUUCUCGUUAGUGUACUGUUCAGACUGACCCUUGCAUGUUUAUAUUUUAAUCCAGUGGGUGUAGCAUUACGAAAAUAUGCUUGUUCUUUUAAAUUUUUAUAUCUAUUCUGGAAAGAAUUACAGUUUUCAACACAAGGACCAUGAUGUGGAAUCUUUUACUUCAAAAUAUUACAUAUGAGUACAAGAUACUGAUGUAAAAAUUGUUUGGCUGACCGAAAAAGUGAGAGAUUCAAUUUCUGGUGGAAAAAAUGUUACUUAGUUGAACAUACUCUAUUUAGAGUUACUGGUGAACUUGAUAAAUACAUGUCCGUUGACUAUUUUACCAUGGAGAAAUAAGAUGUUCGCCAAUAUUUGACAGGCUAACGAUGUCAGUGCUGACCUUGUCCUUAAUAAUGGGAAUUUGGAAUGGUGGUCCUUUCAUGAUAUCAAUUCAUUGGAUGUUAGUGGCUGUGGAGGGUUAAAAGGGCCAAUGGCCAUCAUUGUAUCAGAAGAAACCCCACGUAAGUAUUUAGUAAUAUUUAUUAGAUACCACUUUGAAGUUCUGGUUUUCCUUAGAUGUUAUCAGUCCACUUCUGGAUGUGAUUGUGCCGAUACAUUUUGUUUAUAGACAUUACCUUGUCCCUUUUCCUAUACCAUGGUACUCUUAUUGUACCCCUGUCCCUCCCCCUCUCUCCUUGCAGGGGCUUUUUUUCAGCGGUCAAAGAAAACCACUCUUUGACUCUGGAAAAUUGGCUAAAUUUAACAAGUAUUAUGUCAUAUCUAUCCCACCAGUCAUAUUGAAUCAACUAAAGGCUAAAGGUUUUGGGUGGAUGUAGCUGGGAAAAAGGGGGAGUCGCAGAUCUGAGAUUUUAAAAUGCCAUAGAAGUUAGUAGGGUGUUAUUUGAACCAAGGGAUAGCUUACCACUUUAGGCAGUAGGGAAAAGCUGCCUCUCUUGUUUUUAAGUUUUAUACCUCAUUCUCAUGUGACUUUGUUUAUGAUAUGUCAAAACCAUGUCAGAGGGUUUCCUUGGCGAGACGCUUAGCAAAUUCAGUAUCUGGGGUCUGUACAUUACAUUUGUGCUAGCAGUUGGACGCUUUAUCAGACUUCAGUGCUCUGAUUUGCGAAUGAGGAUCCCAUACGAGAAUCUUCCUUCUUGCGACAGGUACAUUGCCCUCUACUGAUUAUGAUUUAAGUAUGCAAAUGCAGCUAAAUAUAUUUAAUAACAGCAUACUGUUAAUUGUCACGUUUUAGUAUAGUACAAAUUUGAGUAUUGAUGCUUAUACUCUAAAAGGGAGGUUUUAUGAAUGUCCUUUCCUGGAGAUAUACUCCUCCUGAAAUCCGUAGCAAUCCUGACACUUGUAGGGAAGAGUGUUAUGUCGCUGUAGCCACAACGAAAAAACAGUGGACAGAGUUGGUCUGGGUUAAAGGUUGUCAAACAUAAUAAUUCAUGUUUUUGUAACAGAGAGCCCACGAAGCAAAUUAUGGUAUUGUCAUUUUGAAAGGGUAUGAGCAGAAACUCACCUUGUCCUGUAAAGGAGUAGUUUGCAUCUCAGUGCAGAAGCACUGGCAACAUAGCAGAAAGGAGUUGCAUCUCAGAUUUUGACAAAAAGACAAGAAUUUCUUUGAGUUUUUAAUCAUUCUACCUAUUAGUGGAAUAAAUGAUGGUCCAAGGGUUCUUACUCGGGGAAUCUUGGACUUAAUUAGAGUUUUUUUUUAAUUGAAUCAUCGCAUUAUAUUUUUUGGGAAUUGGUUGGAAUGUGUUCUUAUUUAUUACUAUAGGAUUUUGGUUUACACAACCUCUUGUUGCAAAUGCUUGCAAAAAAGCUUUUGUGACUAAUCAUAUGGGGGAUUUUGGCUUUCUCCAAAGCGGCCUUGAAGACGUCCUCCUGCAAGUAUAGUCGCAAUAUUUCAUUUGACAUAUGGGUUUUGCAGGUUGAUCGCCAUCUGUGAGGAUAUAUAUGCUGCUAGAGCAGAGGGAGAACUUGGAGUAGAAGAGAUCCUAUAUUGGACGCUGGUGAAGAUUUACAGGUCACCUCAUAUGUUGCUUGAGUACACGAAGCCAGACUAGAUUGUCAAUCGCAGCGCUCCCUUCUUUUACAGGGUCAACAUACACUUGAUACGGCUAACGUUUACAUGUAUAUGAGAAAUACUGACCAGAGGCAGCCUUUUGAUUUGAGACUUAUAGAUUACUCUGCUAGGCUUCUCGAUCACAUUUUUUAGUUCGAUGUCGGGAAGAAUUAGUAACACACAGUUCCGUUAUGUAUAGUUUUUCAGUAGUUUCAUAUUGCCCAACUGCAUUUAUUUACUUUAAAAAGGUUGUAAAUAUUGGGUAAGAGCCCUUGACCGCAUUGUAAAAGUUUUUAACGUGUAUAAUAGUAUCGUCUUUGAUGUGCAAAAUGUAUUGAAAACCAUGUCCUCGGUUCGGAAUGGAUAAAUGGAGUCUUCGCUUUUGUCACUCUCAGCUCUGCUGUCACGGAAUUGUUGAACAAGUUCUGAUCAAGCACCUGAGAAGGAUGAUAUUUUAGGUUUUCAAAUGAUCCCCAAAAAAGGAAAAAGAAAAAAAAAAUCCAAUGUGGAAGGGGAUGAAUGAUCAACAGUAAACCCAUGCAACUGUGGUCAGCACCCGUGUCAUUAGCAUUUUUGGUAAUUGACAAAUAGCUCUAAACUAUAGAAAUAGCGCAGAGAAAACCUCUGUCGCAAAAAUUUAUUUACAACCUAAGGACAAAAGGCAAAAGCAGCCUAAAAAUGAAAAAAUUUGCUUCUAGUUCAGCAGCCCAAAGGGGAAACUUGCUAUCAAGUCCAAUCAUGUUCAACCGCGAUGGAGUCAUAUAUUAACAGAAAGUAUAUCCGAGUCCUUAAUUGUUGUUAGGUAGAGCACCAAAUAGUAUCCUAAAAACCGAGACUUCACUAUGAAUAUAUCUUCUUGCAGUUCCAAUCAGUCGAGGAUACCAGGUAAACCUUUCCUGACCACAUUCUGAGGAAUGGUAUCCUCCAUUAUUUUGGGCGAAGCGAAGCUAAAAUCUGAAGGAGACAAGCCUUUAAACUGUGGAUUUGCAUCCAAAAAAGAGGCCGCUUGAGUGGAGGAUCUGAGUGUCCUACCAGUGGGAGUGGUGUAGUAGACAUCCAUCUUGGUAAAAUCUUUCCUCAUAACCAAUCUUUUCUUGAAUCCAGUGGGGGUUUUAGGAAUGUUGGGUUUGUCCAUCACCCAAGUCCGAGUAGAAUCGUACUCGAUAUCAGCCGGGUCAUCACAAGAAACAUUGGGUUUCUUGCUGCAGAAAAAGGGAUCUUGUUUGAAUUUGCUUCUGAUUUCUUCAUAUUCUUCUUGGGAUGGAACAGUUCUCCACUUGAAGCACUUGUCACACUGCACAGCCCACACAUCAGCUGUUCGAGGUGCCUGUUCUCAACCGCCCCCAACAACAGAAUAGCCAUCACGAGUCAAAUCAAGUUCGGUGAAUCAAAUUAUCAAACAGAUUGGAAGCACCCCAAAAAAACAAAAAAUUAAGGCAUGACAAGGAAAGAAUACCUUGGCAGUCUUGGGAGUCUCCUUCACCAUCUUCUUCCCAAUCUAGAUUUCUCUCCCGCCGUUACCUUCCUUCCCCAAGUCCUUUGACCACGGACGGGCGUCAACCUGAAGUCCCAACUCCCCCGGUAUUCUGUGUUGCAAUCCAGGCAAAAAUUGGGGUAUAUGUACGGCAAAAAUAAAAGUGGGCUGGCGGUGGGUCUGUUAAACUCUUCGUCACUCUUUGGGUCGUAAAGAAACGGAAAAAGAAAAUGCUCCAAGCCCAAAGCCCACAAGCUAUGGCACCGGUAUCAACUUUCAAAAACAAAUUUAUUUGAUUGUGUACUCUAUUGAAUAUGAAUUGUCGUGAUGAAAAUUAAUUCUCACCUGGACUGGACUCGAUGCAAUAUGCCCGGGAAAAUAGAUGACUUUCUUCUCUUCUCGUGUUUUUUUUUUUGAAGUGUACCAACAGGUAAAAUCAAUUACGGGACAAAAAUGUAAUUGAUCCUCUUGCGAUCAUCUUUAUUUCUAGUCAUAAUUUUUUCUUUUUUUAAUGCUUAACUACAAUGUUUUAGUGAUAAUUUUAUUAAGAUGAAAUGCCAUUUUCAUCUCACAACCACCAUUUUUGUUCGUACAAUAAUCUAAAUUGAGCGAUGACAAUACCGAGCAAAUGUUCUUUCUACAAAUAAAUUGAAACAUAUUUUAUUUCCUUUCUACUUCUGGUGCUACCUAUCAAAUAGUAUAAAACUUGACAAGAGUGACGUCAGAUUCGGCUCCACUAUCCAAGAGUCUAGUUGUACACAGUAAGUAAAACAUAGAAGAUUUUCUGUAAACUAAUUUUUAAUUAAUUAAGAGACACGCCUCGUAAUGUUUUUAUUGAAAAUCUUCACUUGAUGUUUGGAAACGCGUUUGGAUAGCGGGCCUCGGUGGGUUCGAUAGGGUAUACAGCCACCCAUCAUUUUCACUGGACUGGCCCGAAACGGGAGGACAUGCUGUCUUACUUUUCCACGAGUAAAACUCAUCGGUCCAAUACUAAUAAAUAGCAACGCCAGAAAAAAUAAAAAUAAAAAUGAAAAUGGGGCAGUGUUUGGACUCUUUUUAGAGUCGAGAGAGUGAGGCUCAUAUAUAAGUUGGGGGAAGGCAGCAGCACCCCGGGGGCGGGCGGUGCAUCACAGAAGCUUUCCAUUAUAUAUAGCCUUGCGUCUGUGUUGGGGGGCUGGGGGUGUGUGUGUGUGCGUGUGUUUUUGUGUGCGUGUCCUGGGACUGGGAGCCUGUAUUGUAAUCCCCCUCACUCUUCACUGUCUAUACACAAAUAAUGAUGAUGAUGAUGAUGCUGAUGUUGGUGGCUGCCCCUGAAUUUUUCUGCGGAUUCACAACUUUUCUGUGACUGCCCUUUUCUCCUUUACCGAUUGAGUUUGAGCCCUUCUCAUUUGCAGGUUCAUUAGAAACUCAUUUUUUUCCAAUUUCCUUCUUUUAUUUUUUUCGGUGGAAAAUUUUUUCCUGUGACGAUUUUUCUUUUUCUUGUUUCUUUUUUCUCUUUUGUUUACAGUCAUGCAGUCAUGAAUUUGGCGUGAAAAACUUUUAAAGUGGGGGGUUUUUUUGGGGGUUUGUUGAUAGCUAAAGAUUACCCAUUUAGCUUUGCGGUCUGUCAGUUUAUACCUCUUGGAAACAAAAGUCAAAUUAAUUGUUGGGAAAAGGAAAGAAAAUCACGGCCAGCCCACGACGUCCGACGAACCUACCUAGUAAAAUGGGUGUUUUUUAAAUGGCUCUUAUUUGACGGGAUUUUAAUUUUUGUUUUCUUUCUUUUUGUUAAUUGAUUGCAGUGGUUUGUUGCGGGGUAUCAUUGAUUUUUCAUUGGCUUCGUCUUCACCAUAAGGAGUAAUUUACAGGUGUUGUUCUUUUUACUCUUUUAGCUGCCACUUUUACCUAUUACUGAGUGACAAAUUAUUAAUUAUAGGAGAUAUUUUCUUUCAUCUUUUCUUGCAUUGGCCAUCACUGGAAGAUAAUAUGAUCUUUUUCUGUGAAGUGAUUUGGGUGACGAAAUGUAGUUUUAGCAAAUGGUGAAGUCUGAAAGCAUCCUUUCAUCAAUUUAAUUGUUCUUUUCUUUUGUUUUUCUAUGUUGCUGAUAUAUAUAGUGGUUCUGGGAGAUAUUGAUUUUAUAGGAGUAUUUCAUUGCUGGAAUUUUUUGAAGUUGUGGUUCUUUGAAUUGUCUGAACUUUUUGGCAUUGAGCAUUAGAGAUAACUAGUGAGACUGCUGUGAGCUGUUCUGUUUGGAAUAUUUUUGCUGUUUCGUGUUGUUCUUUCUUCUAAUGCAAGACUGUUUGAUUUGCAUAUUUUACCACCCUAAUGGAACUUUGAUUCUGCAUAGGAAGCUGACUUUAUAGGCCUGAGAAUUGAAAUCUUGAUAGGCUGUUCUCUAGUUUGCUGACAUGGGUGAGAGCAGUGAUAUUGGUGGUAGCAGAGAAAUGCAUUCUUCUAUUUCAGCUUAUGGAAAAGGAAGUAAGAACAAGAGGAAGUAUUUGGCAGAGUUUCCUCUGGACAUGAUUGAUGUAUCAGCCCUGUCGUUGACUGAGUUCCCAAGAUAUGAGUUAUUGGAGGAAAAACUUCGCAAUACCCAAAUUGAGCUUGCUCCAGUGGAGGCAAGGUCUGAUAAUCCUUGUCAAGAACAUGAAGUGGAAGAACCUGACCAGGACGAAUGGGAUGAUCCUGUUGUUUGUCAGCUUCAGGAACUUUUAUCAAGUAACCUGCUUGAGACUUUCCGCAGCGCAAUUAAGAAGGUAGUUGAAAGUGGAUACAGUAGUGAAGUUGCUGAGCAGCUUAUUUUGAGGAGUGGCCUUUACCAUGGUACUAAGGAUGUUGUAUCAAAUGCUGUGGAUGGUGCUUUGGCACUUGUGAGUAGAGAAAAGGAACUAGAAACUUCAAGGCAUCAUGUUUUUGAGGAUUUAGACAGCCUGGUGAACUAUACAAUACUUGAGAUGAUAGCAGUGGUUAGGGAAGUUAGACCAUGUUUAACUGUGGGUGAAGCAAUGUGGUGGCUCUUGAUUUGUGAUCUGAAUCUAUUACACGCAUGUAUAGUGGAUAGAGAUCACUUGAGUAGCUUUUGCAUCCCAGAAUAUUCUGGAGAAAGCCCAUGUGAUUCAACAGUUUCUCCAUUGACACCAGAGGCUGCUGAAACAAGUGAUCAAAACCUCAACAAGUCAUGUACUUCGAAACUGUCAGCUCCAAGAGCAAAAAAUUCUCAUUCUGAGAUGCCUGCAAUUCCUGCAGUCAGUCAGUUGCCCAACUCAAAGAAUUCCCAUGUUCAUGAUGUUGCAAUCACUGGGAAAGAAGGUUUAGUUCCUCCUGGAGAAACGCGGGGGAAAUCCUUGAGCACUGGUCGGGAGCAUGUCCCUACUGUAACUCAAGCUGUUGUAGAAGAAAAAGCUGUGCUUAGUCGAAAGGGUUCAGCAGGUAGUUCCAAGAGAGACAUGCUUCGACAAAAAACAUUUCAUUUUGAGAAAAGUUACAAAGGCCGUAUGUCUAAGGGUGCUUUCAAAGCAAAGCUGACUACCUGGGGUAGCAUGGUGUUGGACAAGUCACUGAAGUCACCGUCUGGCUCUUCUGGUGUGGUAAUGAAGAGUACUUAUUCAAAAAUAACUACUUCAAUUGGAGCAAAUGGUCCUCUUCCUGAUGGCAAUUGUAAUAUCUCUAGUAACUCCACAUCUGUUCACCAAGGGACAGAUGCACCUAGUGUGUUGUCUGUGGCAGACACAGUUUUCGCAUUACCUGCAGUAAACAAGAACAAUCCUACAUCUUCAACGCUUGACCACAAGCCUGCUGCAAAAGCCAAAACCAAUCAUACUAACUCCUCUGAAGUUCCUGAUUAUUAUGCUGGAAUUCCGUAUGAUGAGUCUCUGGGAAAGUAUGUUCCCCAAGAUGACAAGGAGGAAACAAUAGUGAAUCUAGCUUCCCACAUGAAAGCACUGCAGAAAGAAAUUGAAGUCUGGAAGGAUUGGGCAAAUGAGAAGGUGAUGCAGGCUACUCGGAGGCUUAGCAAGGAUCAGGUGGAGCUGAAAAUGUUGAGGCAAGAGAAAGAAGAGGCUGAUAGAUUCAAAAAGGAGAUGCCAGCUCUGGAGGAAGGUUCCAUGAAGAGGCUCUCUGAGAUGGAGUAUGCAAUUUCUAAUGCUGCAGCUCAGAUUGAGACUGCUAAUUUGAGUAUUCACAGGCUUGAAAAUGAGAAUAAUGUGCUGAAAAGUCAAGCAGAGGCUGCUAGAUUCCAGGCAUUAAAGGCCAGUACAAAUUUUACUAAGGCGGUGAAGAAAGAGCAGGAGGCACUGAAGGGGCUGCAAUUGGCAGACACGGAGAAGAUUGCUUUGCAGGAGGAGUUAGCAACUCUGAAGCACCAUUUGGCAGAUUUGCAACACCAACUAGAAAAGGCAAAAACUCGCAAAAACCAGUUUGAGGUAUGCCCUUCUUCCCUUCCCUUCCCCCCCCCCCUUCCCUCCCUUCCAAAAAAAAAAUAAAAAGAAAAGGAAUAUACCAGCAUUCAUGCACAGGGCUUACUAUCUUGAAAAAAAAGCAGCAAGGUGUAUUGCGUGGUAUAAUGAUAUCGAGAGGAUUGCUUUUUAUGAAUAUAUACUUUUUCUUUUUUCGCAUAUAAAUAAUAUACAUUUGAAAAGAUGGGCAUUUAGUAAAUUAUCUCUGGUAUAUUUUAUUUUCAUUUUCCCCCCCCCCCCAAAAAAAAAAAACACCCCACCCCCUUCCUGCUCCCCAUCCAACACUCAAUAAAGAAGGAAAAGAGAACAAGAAAGAGCACCAAAGGAAAAAAGGAGAUUGAAUAUGAAUGCAUGAUUUCCUUCAACUUGGACAUGUAUGCUUGUCUUGCAAUAAUCUUGUGCAAUUUGAUUUCUGUUCUUGAAGAGCUAGUUAUAUUUACUAGGGUUUAUGGUUUCUGCCAUUUAUGGUUUCCAUCUUCUGCAUUAGGGAAUGGUGGGGAGGGUGAAUAUCUGGUAUUCAUUCGAACAUUCUGACCAGGUUGAGAAAAACAAAUUUCAGGCCCUAUGGAAGCAGGAAGAACGAGAAAAACUAAAGUAUAAUAGACAAGCUGAGUCACUGAAGAGGGAAACUGAACAACAGAAAGCUCGGACAAAAGCAGAGGAGGACAACCUGCGAGAGACAGAUGAAAGAAAUAUACAAAAUUGCAUGGAAAAUGUUAAGAAGCUUGAGAAAGAAAUUUCUGAGUUGAGAUUAGAGUCUGAAUCUUCAAGAAUAGCAGCACUUCUUGGGGGAGUUGAUAUUGGCUAUGGUAGUGGCUUAAUGGGUAGCAAAGUUGCCUCUGCUUGUCAGGGUUUUCAGGUGCCCAAAAUUAACAAGAGGUUGGCAGUCUUCCAGGACAAUUUUGGGGCAGGAAGUGUAAGGCCUGAAAGGGAGUGCGUUAUGUGUUUGACAGAAGAGAUGUCCGUGGUAUUCCUACCAUGUUCACAUCAGGUUCUUUGUGCAGAAUGUAAUGUCCUCCAUGAAAAGCAAGGCAUGAAGGAUUGCCCUUCAUGCAGGACGGCAAUCCAGAAGCGAAUCCCGGUGCGAUACCUCAGUGCUCAGCAUCCUUAAUAUUUUACCAGGAGAAUGGAGUAGAUUGUUCCUAGUAGAUAAUCGCUCAGCAUUUGCCAUGCUGACAUUUAUGCCUCUUUGGCCUUUUGGUUGUUGGUGGAAACAAAGUACAAGAGAAUAGGUAACAAAACUAAGAAACUGAAAAGAAAGGUGUUAAUAGUUGGUGCUGCCUUGUCAGGCUUAGAUGCAACUUUUUGAAACAUUUACUUAUUGUGCAUCCAUCUCAAUCAUUAUAGUGCUCGUUGCCUGCUCAAGUCUCAAACUCCAGCAUUUUCUUGAUGAAAGAAUCAGGAUACUCGGUGUGCUCAGCUUACAUUUUAAAGAAACCCAGGGGGCGACACAUCUUGGCUUUGAUUUCCUCCUCCUCCAACCCCCCCCCCCCCUCUCUCUCUCUUCUCCCCUCUCCCCUCUCUCCACACCUCCAAUGCACACAUUCAAGAGUAGGCAGGGAAACGCCUAAAGCCCUGGGAUUCUAUCGGUUCAUCAUUUUAUGAGAGAAUCCCUCCUCAGUGAUACCAGACGGAUUUGAACUAUUUUCAUGAUGCUGGGGUUACGAGCUUCUUUCACUUGGGCCAAUCACUGUUGGUAUACACACAUCUUGGCUUUGAGCAACUAAACCUUUUAAGUUGCACCUGAAUCAAUCUUUUAUUGUUAACAAUCACCUAACGAGCUUUAAAAACUAAUUUUCAGUGUAAUCUAAAAUAGAAUGGGGACUCACCUCCCGUUUCCUUUAUAUAUAUAUGUAUAUAUAUAAAGCACUACCUACGCAAUUAACGGGCGGUACGAAAAAAGUUUGACCCGCCAAAUGGUGGAAUGUCUCCCUUCAAAUUGAAUUUGUGUAUAUUACAUAGUAAAAGAACUACACGAUAAUUUUGAAGGUCAAGAAAUUAAACCUAAAUUUUUUUGUUUUCAGUUGUUGAGUGAAUGGAGGGUCCUCUAUGCAUCUCUAAAUGUAGAAGACCUCAAAUGCUCGAACCUUUUGUGGCGGAUGAUAGUCUACUCUUUUCCAGAGUUGACAAUGGGUGAAUGGAGCUAUUAUGGAAGUCUUUUGAGUUUAUACGAAAAGCUUUCUGGACAGAAAGCUAAUUAUGAUAAGGGAAAUUUGCCAAAAUGGUCCCUCACUUUUUCACCUCACAUUUUCAAAAUGUGCGGGACCAAUUUUGCAAAUUUUCCUUGUGAUAAAUCUGACAAAAACCUGGAGUCAAUUGCGUCGGAGCGGAAGGAAAAUUCUUGGGGCUUCCAGACGUAGUGGGCAGAUCAAGGUAUGAGAUAUUUUCAUUCAUUAAAGACGAGAGUUUGAAGGAAGCUGAAAGGGUGGAAAGAAAAGAUACUAUCCCAAGCUGGUAAAGAAAUUCUCAUCAAGUCGGUAAUUCAAGCAAUUCCCACCUAUGUUACGUCCUGUUUCCUGUUGCUGGAGGGUCUAUGCAGUGAACUAAUUGGUGGGAGCAAAAAGGCGAAGAAAAGCAGAUUUGUUGUAGAAAUUGGGGUUCUAUGUGCAACUCAAAAGAUGACGCGGGCAUGGGUUUCAAGAACCUUGCUUGCUGCUUUCAACUAUGCAUUAUUGGCGAAACAAGGAUGGCGCACUUUGCAGCAACCUGACUCUCUCAUGGCAAGAGUAUAACCAACGUCAAAUUUUAUGAUGGUAAUAAGUAAGGGGUGAAUUCUUCAGAGUAAAGUAAUCUUGAGUGAGGCAGGGUCUUAGAUGGCGUAUUGGCAAUGGAAAGACUAUAUAAUUUUAAGCCUUCUAAUUUUGGUAGAAGAAUCUGGUCUGGAACAUGGGUCUCAGAGCUAAUUGAUGAGCAAAGAGCACGUUGGAAAGAAGAUUUGAUUAAUGUUCUUCUCCCGACACAUGAGGCUGAGAUAAUUGGAACAAUUCCUCUCUGUGACUCGUUUGCCGGAGGAUCAAUUCCUCUCUUUGGCAUUAAAGUAAUGGUGGUCGAUUUUCUGUCAAAACUGCUUAGUGGAUGAUAAUGAAUCUCUUGAAGCACUGGAGUGCAAAGGAAGAAUGAUCCCAAGUGAAAAAUUUUGGAGAGGGAUAUGGAGUUUAUUCAAGCGCAGGAAGCACGCGAACUCAAAGUUUGCAGCAGUGGGGAAGAAAGUGGCAGCUUCCAGAGAAUGGUCUCUUGAAGAAGCUAAAUGUUGAUGCAGCGUGGACUCAAGAUAGCGCAGGAAUUGGAGGCAGACUUAUCUAGGCUAAGGCUAGGCAAUCUAGUUGACAAAGGCAGAAAAUUGCAAAAGAGUCUCCAGAUGUGCAAGAUUUCACAUGUAGAUCCGGGGACGGACUUGCUGACCUAUAUCUAUAUAAAUUUGAGAAGGGAUUUUUAGCAACAAGCCUCCACACAUCUUCUCACUACCAAUUCUAUUUUCUAGCAUUUCAUAUUUAAUUUAAUUUAUAAAAUAUAUUUUUCUUAACUUCCACAUCUACUCUUCACAUUUGAAAUUGUUGGUUACUUUUUAAAAUCAUUUCAUUUCAAAUUGUUGGUUAAUGUGCAUAUUAUCUUAUUUGAACUUCAACCUAUCACGUUUCCGAUUGCCUUGCGUUAUUUAUGAUUCUACUCCAAUUUUCUAUAAGACCAUAACAAGAGACAACAAAUAUAACAUCCUUUCAUGCUUUCUUAUUAAUUUAAAUAAGUAAGAUUAUUUACACUCUAUUUUUGUUAUUCACACUUCAAGAAUCAUUUUGAUCAUAUAGUUUUCAUUAAUUAGACUAUAUGAUAAAACAAAUGGUGGAAUUACAAAUAAUAAAAAAUGGAGUGCAAAUAAUAUUUUCCUAAGUAAGAAGUGACUUCCAUACCUUUCUAAUUUAAAUAAGUAAGAAGUGGUUCCACUUAUAUAGGAAUUUGGUUUGAAGUUUAUUAGUGGGAGGGUAAAUAAAGAGAAAACAUUGCCAAACUUAGUAAAAGUAAAAAAGUAAAUGAUACUAUUUUAUCUUUUAACUUAGUAAUCCUAAGUAAAAGAGCAAAAUUAAACAGAAAACAAAAAGGAAAUAAAUGUUGUGGAUUUAAAAAAUCAAGAAUGGUACCAUUCAUGAAAUCUAAAUAAAAAACAAAGUACUACUGGCCUUUUAACAUGGAAUUUUUUUUUGAUAAAUAUGAUAAUAACAACACCAAUUCUGCCAAAAAUUUUAAAAAAAGUAACAUUAUAGUUUAAGAGAAAAAUAUAGAACAUUCGAUCCUAAAAUACUACUUAAUUUGUAUACAUCUGGCCCAAAUUUGACCUUGAUUAGAUUUGAAUAAGAGUGUAAAACCCAAACACUAAGAAUAACUUUUGGUAUCAUUAAUUAUUUUAUGUAUUCUUAUUGCCGUCUUCAUAUGUAAAUAUGUAUUUGCUAUGUUAAAUAUAUAUAUAUAGAUAUAGAUAUAUUGAUUGUAGUACUUGAGGAUAUUAUAGAUAUUAUCAGUUUUUCAUUUCCAUUUUUAGAUACUAAUAGGUGCAACCAUUGUAAUCAAUUUUCAAUUUUAUAUUUUCAUUAUGAUAGGUAAAGUUAAAUAUAUUUGGUGCAUGGAUAUGAAUUUAGAAGUUGGGUGUGGGGGGAGAAGGGAGAGGGAAGAAAAUGGUGAGUUGAAAAGUGACGAGAAAGGUUGAAAAAGAAAUGUGGGUUAUAAGGAUGGGUGGAGUAGGGAGAGAAGAAGAAAGGAGAUUGCAGGGAUAUGACAAAUAUGACAAAAAUAAAUAAAUAAAGAGAGAGUGGUACCAUGAUAGAAGAUACGAAAGUCGUAGAAGGCAUCUCAUGACUAAUUGGCGGAUAAGAGAAGAGGGAAAUGAUGGUGAUUUUUAAUAAUUUUGAGAACUCUAAAAAUAUAUAUUACAGAGAUUUUUUUUAAAUAUACGUUAAAGUUCAUAAAAAAAUGCUAAUCUAAAUACAAUCAACAAUUUUAGCGGUAUAAGACAGGAGAAAGAUUUUUUUUUCUAAAAAUGGAAGAAAAUAAAUUGGUUAUAAUUUAUUUUUUUAUAUUAUAAGUUUUGAUAUAUGGGUAUAACAUAAUAUGUUUUGUUGGGUACUGAUAAAUUAAUUUUUUUUUUAGAAAACUCUUCUCACCUUACCACCCAACCUAACCCUCUUCUUAAUGCGUUAACAAUUUCUCUAUCAUGUAAAUCACUAUAAAUUAAAAUUUGUUCAACAUGUUAAACAUACACUUCUUUGAAAUUUUUAGUCUAUAUAUAUAUAUAUUAUUCUGUACCACAAUAUAUAAAUAUAUAUAAUAUUAUUUUAAUUUGAAAUAUAAUCCCGUGUAUAGCACGGGUCAAAAUACUAGUAUAUUAAUAUUAGCUAAGCUAGCGGCCGGCUUAGAGCAGAGAUUUGUGUGAUGGGAUAAUUUUUUUCCCUCCCUUAUGUUAAUGUUGUAUUUGCUGAUUUAAAUUUUCUCUUAACCAAAAAAAAAAAAAUCUAAGAAACUAUGAAUUUUAUGUAAUCUUUAGCAAAAGAAUUUCUGGACCUUAAAAGGGAAUUGGGAAAAGGGGAUUGGCUUGAAGAUGCAACUCACAUAUCCAUAUCAAUUUUCAGGUACAAAUUUGAAUCUUUUUUGUGAUUCGUAUUGGGCUGUGAUUUGCAUCAGGUACACAUUCAAAUGAACCAUUACUGGGCUUCCGACCCACCAUUCUGUUCAUAUGAGUCCAAUGUAAACCAUAUAAACAAAGUUCCAGUAUUUUUACUAUUCUAUAUUGUGGCAAGGCAUGGUUCUCAACAACGUCGAUAUGUCCGAGUGGUUAAGGAGACAGACUUGAAAUCUGUUGGGUUUCGCCCGCGCAGGUUCGAACCCUGCUGUCGACGAUUAUUUUCAUCCUGACAAUAAUUUGCUGACUUUCACUUGUCAAGUGCGUAUGCCCUCGUUCGAAAUUAAGAUAGUUCUUAUUUUUUUCAUCAAAAUAAAAAUAAAAAAAGUUGUGUUCUUUUUAAACAGUUAAAUCAUUUUUAAAUCACUAGAAAUCCUUAGGAGUAGAAAACUCUCAUUACAAAUUCCAAGAAGAGAAGAAACUCUUAUUAGAAAAUUUUAAAAGAGAUUUUAUUUCAAAUGCAAAAACAAGAGAAAAAGGACAUGGGAGGAAGAGAGACUAAAACAGACCACUUUUCGAGGAAGAAUAUGUUCUGUUUGCCGGAGAGGAAAAAGUGAGAGAGAGACGAGAGUUUAGAUAUAGAAAAAAUUCAAAGAUAUGGGAGGGAAAGGGUAUGUUUUGUUUGCUAGGGAAGAACAAGUUGGAAAGAAAAACGAGUUUAGGUUUAGGAAAAAUUCAAAGGUUAUAAUUAAGAACAAUCAUUCAAGAUUAUUUGUAGAUGUUAGCCAGCACGUUUAACUUCAAAAGUUGAGAGUCAAUUACAUAAUUAGCAAAGAUAGGUGUUAAAAAUACAUAAAUUGUUACUUGUAUAAUGAAUUUAAUAAGAAAAAUAUGAAUGUGACAGCUGCUAUGACUUUAAAAGUUACACAUCAAUUUUAAACUAUUAAUUUUCCCUACUCUAUCGCUAUACUGUUUCGUUAUCUUUACAUUUCAAGUAUUUUUGAAUACAUAAUCUCUUACUUACUAUCCCUCAUUCUUACUAUCCAACUCAACCCUCUUUUCAAUUAACUAUACUCAUUUAUUACUCUUACUAUACAAGCUUUUUUUUUGUCAAAAAAAAAAAAAAAAGCAAGAUCAUUUAGAUUAUCACCUUUCUUCACACAAAGAUAUGGUCGUUACGACGAUACAAACGACAAAUCUUAUAGACAUCCCAUGGACACGGACCAAUUAGGCAUGGUGCUCCAUAGUGGUCCAGCAUUUCAGGUGCUGAAGUUUUCUAUGCCCCCAAGAAACGCUGAUCUCUCAAAUCUUUUUAGUGGGAGUAGCAUAUUAAGGGCUUAAUUACGUGACACGCGGAAGCUAAGUUCAAAUAAGACAUGUUUAUUAUCAAAAAAGAAAAAGAAAAAAGACAUGCUUAAAAUUUUAGGUGAAUCGUUUUGUGAAGGGUGCACCCUUUUUUCCUUUGAUGUGGUCCUUAAGAUAAGACUUAGGAGGAAUGAGGUUGGCUUCCGUAUGAUAUAAUAAUUAGUCACCACGACUUAAUCGCGAGCACGGUCGAUGCUCCAAUUUAAUCGAAAAGCCAGCGAUCACAUUUAAUUUAUGCCCCCCCCCCCCCCCCCGGCGCGGAGGGCUCUAAAUAGGCCGCAGAACCAGCAGCAAUUACGUUCCGGUUUUUGGAAACAGCACCACUUCAAAUCCAUUAUGAGGUGUUUGAUCAAAAUGGUGAAACAUCUGCUCUCUCCCGGGCACGACAUUGCAAUUCUUGACAAUUAAAUAAGGAUGUUAGGAGAAACCAGGGAUUAAUGAAGUGCAUUAUUGUUGAAAUCCUGAAGAUUAGCAAUUAUAGAGGUUAGAAAUAACAAAUCACCCGCUCUCUUCUCUAUCAUUCUAAAGAUGAAUAAUUGAGAUUCCCUUGUGGAAGUGCCCAGCAAUCAUGAAGCAAUUAAUUAUUAGCUGGAAAACCCAAGAAGCCAUCGUUCCCUAGAGGCUAGAGCAAUGCCCAUGCUGGACGUAGCAGUAAAUUUGCAAGUUUAUAAUAGGGACCCCCGAAAUUUCUGACAAUAUCCUGAACUUUCAAGUAUCUCACCUGCCUUCUCUAUUUCCAACUUUUUCACAAUAACAAUAAGAAACGAGGGUAUAAUAAUCCACCAGAUUGAGUCCCAUCCAGUUAAUAUAUAGGGAAGUAAGCAAUAUUUUUAAAAAUUCAAGACAGCUCUGUCUAUGAUAUUAUCAUAAACUUCAUGAAAACUUUCUAAAGUUAUCACUUGUAAUAUUCUUGAAUGGCGAGUGCUAUCAUUAUUUUAAUCCGAUGAACAACAAACGGACAAUGAUUCCGUUUAGGAGUUGGCAGAACGCAGACCCUUUCAAGGAUAAAAGAGUAUCUAAGUCGGACACAUUGAUUAUUCGAGAAAAUAUAUGAUGAAUAUAUCCCCCAGAUCACCAGCUAGCUAGCGCGAAGUCAAUAAGGGAAUCCGAGAGACAACACAUUUGACGGAACAUGGAUGAAUCAGAGAGCUGGCAUUUCGCAGCUUUUAUACAUUAUCAGAGUUCUUAAUGUAGAACUAAACCCCAUGCAUUUGGCGCGUCAUCGAUUCAUGUAACAACCCUUCCCCACACUUUGAUUAUCAUUCGCAUUGACUAUUAAUAAAAUGAAGGAAGAAAGGAGGAAAAGAAACAAUUUUUUCGUCAACUUGUUGAGGCUUCGCCGCCAUUAUUCUAGUAAUAAACAUCAAAUACAGAAAUAAAAUAGUUCUAGUGCAGUACGUUUGAUCGAUGGUGGAGGAGGAAAGGGCCAAAAGGACCAAUCCAAAAACAUAUUAUUGUAUUCGCUUAACUGGUCAGAUACAUGCAUGUAUUUUGCUUUCUGGCUUAUUUUUCACGUACUCAGCCCGGCGGAUUUGUGCUUGUUUCAUUCUAGUUAUUCGCCGGCCGGUUAAAAGCAGAAGUUAGUGGCCCUGAUCUAUAUCAAGUCAAGUCAUUGGUGGCCGGCGAAACAAAUUACUACGUACAUUCUUUGUGGGCUUACGUCCUACGGCGGAUUUUAUUGAUAAUUUGCAUGGUGAGUCGUGUUUCUUGACGUAGUGCAUGAUUACCCAAAUAUGUUGGCAAGGGAUCGAAAUCUUUUAGGCUAAAUCCAAGAUUUGCAUAAGAAUAUGACUAUGGUCACCUUUCAAUAGCUUUCACCAAUUCAAUCCAAUUGACAAUUAUGUUAACCAAUAAACUACUAUAAAAGCGUUAUUUUAAAUUUUUAACAGACUGGACUAGAUUAGAGACUGCUCUGCAUGGUCAGCUUGCAUGCAAUCUCAUGUCAUAGUUCUUUCUAUUGCAUUUUUAUGCAGCCAGCGUUUCUAGGUUGCGACUAACGUUAAAAUGCCAAGCAACUAAUGCAAAGAUGUCACGUCUAUAUAUGCACUUAGUAACGCAUUUCCAUUGUGUUUUAUUAUUGUUUCUAUCUUUUUGUAAUACUCUGCCUUUUAUACUGUUCGUUUAGCUAUGAGGUGCCUAGAAAUCGCAUGGUUUCAUCAUAACUUUGGCAAAUUAUCUUUCUCUAUUCAUUCAUAUCAUAUGCAACUUCUAUCACAAAAAAAAACAAAAAAUCAUGAUGCAACUUAGAUAUUUGGCGCAAUUGGCUUGCUUCAUAUUUCCUGCACAGUCACGUUGUUAUAUUGGGCAAUUGGUACAAAUUUCUUUUCUUAAAAAAAAAAAAAAAAACUUGGGAGGAUUUCAUACCAUGACUCUAGCGCAAGUAUAGUAUGGUCCAUUUGUAAACAAUCGGCUACUUACUCUCAUCUUUUAACUAUAAAAGUAAAGGGUUUUCUAGACGGGUGACGAAUGUGCACUUAACACGCAUAAAAUAUUAUGUGAAUGUACACAUUCACAUAAAAUCGCAUCUAACUUAUUAUCUGUGAAUGUACACAUUAAUAAUUAUUGUUUUUUCAUGUAUUUAUAUACUUUUUUUAAUUUGAUUUUUUUAAAAUGUAACACCUAAACUACUUCUUAAACAGACCCUAAAAAGUAGAUAGUUUGUUAGGGGAGUGUUUAAAUAAAGGGGCAAAAAAUUUGGAUAAAUCUAAUCCUGUAAAGCUGGUGGUUCAAAUUCUACCAUAUCUUCAAUACUUGAGUUUUGAGCCACUGCGUGGCGUAUAGAUGGAGUCUGUUCAAGUAUUUGUCCAAAAAGGCAAUAAUAAACCUUUCAAAGAGGAAAAGGGAAAAAAAUUUUAAGUAGAAGAAUUAGUAAUUCGGAACCGAGGAGCCCAAUGGCCGUAAGUACUGAAAGUCGCCCGUAAAGUCGUAAACUGCAUCGGAGUUUUGUGCGCCGUGUUUCAGGCGACGUGGCGUUCCAAGCAAGCUUGUCAUGGGCAGAAGAGGUCUGUUGGUUGGGGGAAUUAGCUUAGAAUAGAGCAGUUUUGGCUGUGUAGUGUACACCCGGUGGCAAUAUAUUGAUUGAUGUUUGCUUCCGUUCUCGUCCGUUGAUCUUGAAAUCAAUUUUCUUAAUGUCCCCUUGUCAUGAACUCCUGAUGUGAUCGGGCACGGAUGCGGCUACGAUUGUAAGCGAUUUGAGGAGUGCCGCAUGUUAAGGACCAGCUGAUCAUGUCCCCCCCCCCCCCCCCCAAUGCCCCAUUAAUUGCAUGAUUAAAACAAAUGGAUUAAGGAGUAGUUGGAGGUUCAUUAUUUUAAUCAUCUGUUUAAUCAAAACUCAAAAGGUAAAAAGACAUUUCUGUACAGUCCAAUUAGAGCCCGUUCACAUCACAUUUCCCUCUCGGAGCAGUUAAGCUUCCCUGCCUCUGCCAGCGUCAUGCACUUAUUUUCUCAUAAUAAAGAAACACACACACACACACAGAGAGUCCAGGCUGGUUCAUUUCAACUGUUGUUGGCUGCCAUUUGCCAAUUUCCCCAACUUUUAUAGCUAACAUUUGGUUGACGCACAGAUCUGAUGACUGUUGCCCUUAUCUAUCGCUAUAACUUGAUAUUGCAAACAAUUCUAUAGCUAGCUUAGUACCAAAGCCUCUCCCGGGUUGCAAUAAUCUUAGACAAAAGUGAGAUGAUGUCUACUUAUAAAAAGGCUUUUUGGCCCGAAAAAUCCAGUCGUAAACCCGACGGAUUAGUCUUUGAAUGAAGAACUUAAUAUCAUGUUCAUUCAUGUUGUGUUACGCUUGAGUACAACCUUUUUUUUUUCUUUUUUCUUUUUUUUUGUGGUUCACGCGAGUCUAUCUACCUAAUGAGUUUUACUGCAGCUGCACGGGAGCAAGACUGAGAGUAAGAGAAAGUACACAAAAACAAAAGUAGACAAUUCAUUCCAUAUCUAUCAGCUUAGGUUACAGAGCCCAAUUCCCAGAAGACUUCUUCCUGUAUUCUGCCUCUGCCAAGAACGAGCCGCCAAGCUCCUCAGGAUUCAGGAACAUAGGAACUACUUGGCCUACGCUCAGUCUACUCUACUCUGUCUUUUUAAUCACCCAAUUUCUAUAUUCUAUAUUCCGUGGCAUAUUAGCUAAGAAGAAGAGAGGGGGGCCGAUGAGAGUUGAGAAGCACACUAACACUCGCCAUCUCUCAUGCCAUUUCAACAAGGUUUGAUCAAUCAACCAUUCUUCUUCGGCACCAAUAAUUAUCCUGCAGAAAUGCUAAAAAUACUGAACCAAAAGCUGAAGCGCCUCUGCCUCAGACUCAGAUGGCCUAUUCGCCGCCGUUCAAAGCACAAGGUGGUCGUCAAAAAAUUCGGAAAAUCCAACUCCAGAGGUCACCAUGACCACAAGGAUGCCUUGAAUGUUACCUCUUCCUCCGCUGUGAUCCAUCCCAGCAGCGAAUUAAAUGGCUCAAAAUCCGAAAAGCCCAUCCGGAUAGCAACAUUUAAUGCUGCCAAGGUACUAUAAGCCAAAAGUCGUCAAGUUUCGAUUUUGAUAAUGAAGAUACUAUAAGCCAAGGCAUUAUGUCCACGCCGGGAAUGGAUUAUGCUUUCAGAGCAAAGUCAAUGAACGGUCGUCCACCGAAAAGUAUCCUCAAGCAAUCUCCCUUGCACUCAAGUUCCAUGAGGGAACCCGACAGUCUCACCAAGCAACAGAAGUUUGCCAGAUCAAAGCUGCGAGUUUCCAUUAACUUGCCGGAUAACGAGAUUUCUUUAAGGCGAAGUGGGCAUCUAAGCUUUCGUCGCGAUGAAAAGGAGGAGGGAUAUUCAGGAAACAGUAGCAUUAGCCGGGUUCUCAAAGGAAAGGCUCCUCUGAGGUCAACUAUGAGCAUGCCUUCGAGUCCCAUUGCCAGCGGUCAAAACCAGAGAAACACCAGGACAAUUGUCGAAGUUUUGAGAGAGUUGAAUGCGGAUAUAUUGGCUUUGCAAGAUGUUAAAGCAGAGGAGGAGAGAGGGAUGCAGCCAUUGUCGGAUUUGGCCGCUGCUUUGGGGAUGACUUAUGUGUUUGCCGAGAGUUGGGCUCCUGAGUACGGUAAUGCCAUCUUGUCCCGGUAUCCAAUCAAGAGGUGGAAGGCUCAAAAGAUUUUUGAUGAUGCUGAUUUCAGGUUUGAAUUAAUCUCCUUCGUUCAAUUUUCCUUCUGUCUUUCUCGUUAAUACUGCUUAAUUACUCCAGAUUCUUGUGAUAUUUCUUUCCAUCUUACCGCUACCAGGCUUGAUAUAAUUUCUUCAUCCGAUUACUGUUUAUUGUAUCCACUAACACUAGCUAAGUUCUCCAGAUUAAUUCUUGAAAUAUUGCUUUGUAUCAUUAAUACGACGAGCUCAAAAUUGAUCAUUGACCAAUUUUUUCGUCCAAGAGCCACAGUAAGUACGAUGAAAAAUUUACUUAGAAGCUUCAAAUAAAGAACGUUAAUAUACAUUAGAGGUCAAAACCAUUUCAUAAAUUUGCUCAUUAGAUAAUUAAUAGUAUGUUUUUGUUUUUAGUCAACUCUGCUGUUCUUGGCAGACAAGCUGUCUCCGUUAGUUUAUUGUUUAGUGUUUAGGCAACGACGUCAGGGUGGUUGUUUUGGGCCAGAAUGCUUUCGUUAACAUACAAUCUGGAACAACAGCUGUAGUAUGUCUGUAGCAGGUGACCUUCAGGACUCCAUUAUUGAAUAAUUGAUGAUAAAUGAAUCAUGAAAGUGGGAUUUUAAAAUAUUUUGCAGUCACCCAUGAAGUUCCGCAUCUGUUUCCUCAUCGGCUUAUUCUCACAACUGGGUAGUACCAUUUGCUUUCCAUAAUGUCGAGUAUGUCAUCGCCUUUUUAUCAGUUUUCUAUGUUGCAUCUCCCGUGGAUGCGUCUAACAGUUGUGCACCAUGAAGAGUAAGAGAAAACAUUAGUCUCAAUUGAUAAGGAGGAUUCACUUCUUGGUAUUGCUGCUGUUGAUAGAAGAACUGAUGUCUGGAUAGUAGAUUUUUUAGGAUAAUAUUUUUUCUUGAAAAAAUAUUGUAACACUUUUUUAUAUAAUACUAUAUGUAAGAUAAAUAGAUAGUCAGAAAAAUAUGUUGAUGAUAUAAACAAAUAAAUUUUUGCAAAUAAGGAACUAUCCGAAACAAACCUGUAAGAAUUCAUGUCAGAAAUACAUGGUGACAAUAGAUUUGUUUGGAUUGCGGUUUAUUUGCCAAAAUAUAUUUGCUUACAUCAUUAUUACAAUUUCCAACACACUUUUUUAUCUUUUCAAUUAUCUUUUUAUCUCACAUACAUCACAUCACAAAAAAUGCUACAGUAAAAAAUCUCUAAUAAUUCACAAUCCAAACAAACCCAAUGGAAGUGAAUCUACCCGAACUUUUUUCUACCCAAAAAAAAAAAAAAAGGUACAACAGAUAAUAAUAAUAAUGUUAACUUUGCUAGAACCAAUUAAACGGACUGAAAAUCUGAUGACUACUUAGAAUGGCGACCUUUGACUUCGACAUCAAUAGUUCGGUUAUUCCGUUCAGUCCUGAUCCGCUCAUUGGAAUUGUAAAGCAUUUUGUGUUAUCAAUCCUUAACGGAGCAGCUUGAAUUGGUACGGCAAUUAAUGAUUUACUCGUGAUCCUAUCUAUCUCGUACACCACUGCCGUGCGUGCCGUUGGAGGGACUACCACUAAGAAUUUGGCAUUAGAAGGCUACCACUAUCUUUAACGAUUUUAGAACUUCAGACCAUAGUUGAACUGGAGACUACAUUGUUUGUGGGUACUUUGAGUCCAGAACAAAUGAUUUGGUCAUAUGGAUAGAGAUAUUUAGUUCAUAUUCAGAAUAAUUAAACUCAUGUUGACAUUGCAUGCAGAAACGUUCUUAAGGCCACAAUUGAUGUUCCUCACAUAGGAGAAUUGAACUUCUACUGCACCCACCUUGAUCAUUUAGAUGAAAACUGGCGCAUGAAGCAGAUCAAUGCGAUCAUCCAAUCCACUGACGCGCCUCACAUCUUGGCUGGCGGCCUAAAUUCACUUGAUGAAUCAGAUUACUCCCCAGAAAGAUGGACGGACAUUGUAAAGGUAAACUUCCCUGCUUUAUUUACCAGUUAUUUUCACUUCACAUGCAGCUUAGAUAUUUCAUAAUGAAUGAAAUUAUCUAGAAAUCAGCAACUGACGAAGAAUAUAAAUGCAGUACUACGAAGAGAUGGGAAAGCCGACUCCCAAGGUUGAAGUGAUGAAAUAUCUCAAGAGUAAACAAUACACAGAUGCUAAGCAUUUUGCUGGAGAAUGCGAGUCUGUCGUCAUGAUUGCCAAAGGACAAAGUACGAAUUAGAAAGAAAGAAAGGAAAAAAAAAAAAAACAUUUUCGACAUUUUCCUUGCUAAAUCAAAUUGAUAUGCCUCCAUCUAUCGUGCCUAAAUUGACCAUCUAUCGUCUCCUGUGCAUGCAUCAAUGUAUUCAGGUGUGCAGGGGACUUGCAAAUAUGGAACUCGGGUAGAUUACAUACUAUCUUCACCAAGUUCUCCAUAUAAGUUUGUUCCUGGAUCAUACUCGGUCUUCUCCUCGAAGGGGACUUCCGAUCAUCACAUAGUGAAGGUUGAUGUGAUAAAAGUAGCAGAUAGCAGCAUGUCUCAACAAUUUGUUCACGGGAAAAAGCGGCAGCCGAGACAGAGAGUUGUCAGGAUAACACAUUCAUCUUCAGCCAAGGGUGUUUGGAAGGCUUAGAAAUGAUUGGUGAAGCGUCAGAAAUGUGCUGCUGAUUAAUUGGAAUAGUUAUUUUCUGUCUUGGAUUAUUCCUCCCAGCUCAAGGCUCAAGCAGUAGAUGAGGGAAGAAGAUUUAAGAUUCACCUCCGACUCCGUCUUCCUCGGUUUGUGCAAAUGAGUAUCCAUGUCUAAUUUACAGAUACAGAAAACAUCAACCGUGUAAAUUCGUCCUCUCUCGAAGUCUUGGGAAAGAAAACUAUAUUGUUCUUCGCAAUAGAUACCUCUGUACGACAUGGAAAUGUUAGGUUCAGAUUAAAUGCUAUUGAUUUUUCUCCUACAAUUGAUCUUGUUUCUAACCUUUUGUUUAUAGUCUCACUUUUUUUUUUUAAUCAAUCAUCAACUCUUACACUGCUACUCCAACUAUUCUAUACUUUUGUUUCUAGUCACUUUUUUUAAUUUUUUUUUUUGUCAAUCAUCAACUCUUACACUGCUACUCUGAUUCCUGCAGGUGCAAAGGCCCUCUUACAUAUGGUCAAGGCUGCACUAUAUACUUCAUCUGGUGCCCGACUCACCUAAAGCGGGUUGAUUGAUAGUCACAUUAUUAUUUGGUUCCCAAUUCAUUUAAACGUUCUUCCUCAAAUUUGUUAUGUUUCUCUUUUGUUUCUGCCCCUCUAUCCCUGCAUCCAGAAUUGCCUUGCAUCUAUGUAUCCAGAAUCGCAAUAUGGAGGGGUAUUUGGAUUUGGAUCUGUGCUCAGUGAAAUUGGGACGUAUUUAACCAUCGAGUUUGGCUCGUGCCACCACUCAAAGCCUGUAAGACUUGAUGGGGUGGGAGAUCAAGAGUUCAAACCUUAUCUCCUACUUAUCUCCUACUAUCUGUCACUAUACGUGGCCCACCACUUCAAAUAGUUUCAGACGGAUGCGUAGUCCAUGCCACUUUAAUGCACCCGUUUGAGAUGGUAAUGGUUCAGUCCGCAUCGAUUUUUUCUUGAAUCUCUUCAGGUCUCUCUUCCUAUAGCAUAAAAUAAAUAUAGAUCUAUCGUGUUCGAAAAAAAAAAAAAAUUGAGACGUAUUUGGUUCUUUCGGAUUAUGAAGCUACCCCUUAAUUCCAAGAACAAGGUCCUAGAAACCACAUUGCUUCUGCACUAAUAUUCGUAUCCAACCCUACAAGCAAAGGAAAGCUAAUGGACACCAAACUACCAAAGCCUUGGGCAAAUUAUCAAGUUAACCCAAAAGCGCCACGGGCAGUCUUCCGUUGCUUCAUGGUUUUUCGUUUUUUGGUUCAACGUUUGUCAUUUUUACUCCGUUAGAGUCUAGACUCCGUCUCCUUUAAUACUAACCGCUGUUCGGAUUUCUUUCUCUAUUUUCUUCUGAAAUUUAUCUUCCUUCUCUUUUUCUUUUUUUCUCUGAACAAUUUAACUUCCUUUUUCCAUGUCAAAUUUACCACUAGUAAAGUAUCUUUAUACAGCAUGAGAAUUUAAAGAAGAAGAAGAAUAGACUUAUUGAGGCUUAAUUCAAUUGAAGAUAUAGUACAUUAAUCUUCUUCAUUCCCGGCCGCUCCAACUGAUCUGCCUGGAAACUUCGACGCCGGCUGGUUAGCUUGAUUUCCGGAGGCCCUUAACCACAUUUGGUAAUUACUACGCACACUCUCGAGCCCUUCCUCCCUCCUAACUCUCAAAAUUCUGCCAUGUCUAAAUUUGCCACUGAGGAGGACGCAUUUGCCACUGAGGAGGACGCCGGCGAAAGUUCUGGCGAACAGAACAGAGGGAUCACCGGCGAAGGACGAUUCGCGACUCGGACUGAGAGCCCAGGGUUUGAGAACUUCAACGAGAGAAUUGUAUCCAGUGAUACACGAGAGGAGGAGGAGGGAGGGAGACACCAAUCGCCGACGGCCGAGAUGGGGUCGGGGUCGAGGCGGAGAAAGAUGCUGAGGAAAUCGACUUGGUUGGAUACGAGUGAUUUCCCGCCACUGCUGUCAAUUUUGAACAAGAACGGACGGUCCAGAUUCGAUUUCAUUAAAACGAGGGACAAUGGACGGCUACAGAUGACGAUUGUGCCAAGCGAACGUCGCGAAGUAGUAGCAUUUCAGACUCCUCCCAUGCGCAUGAACAAGCGUCUGCAAAUGCUGCUAAUCAAGACCGACGACGAUCAAGAUCAUGAGGAUCAAUAACAUCAUGAUCACCUCACCACCAUGAUGAUAUGAUCACCACCAGAAAGAAGAGGAAAGAUUACAAUCCAAUGUUGGCGAUGGCACACACCAGCUUCAGGUGAUCAAAAGUGAUCUGAUGUUGCACCGUACUUACUGCUGCUACUUAGUAGUUACCCCCUAGAAAAAUUUUAAUUGACGAUUCAAGUUUAGGUGAAGUUACCCCGCAUCUGGGAGAUGAAACCAUUUUUUGAUACUUUUGAUUUGACGCAUCCAUUCCAGCUUCGGAUGCAUGAUCAGAACAUCACGGUCAGUAGUUUAAAAAAAAAUAAAGGGAUUUUAGUAAGAAUCGGGAAUGCAAAGAAUUGCAGAAAAGCGUUGGGAGAUGAAGGCUAUUGGAGAAAUCAAGAAUAAUCAAGAAUUCAUUCCCGUCCAGCCGCCAACUUUAAUUUUUGAAUUUUGUUUGACGUGCAAAGAAAGGGAAAAUUAGGAGCUGGAAUAUUGCAUGCUUUUGUUCUUGUACGUAGAUCGAACGUGUUGUAUUAGUUAAUUCUUUUUUUUUUUUGCUCUGAAAUUUCAUUUCAUGAACUCCAUCAAUCAUGUCCAUGGGUAACCAGCUAGCGUGAAUGUCUUGAAAAAGGAAGAUUUGUGACGUAUGAUUGAAGUUCGAGGCUCUCUAUAUGCAUGUAUGUAUGCAUGUCUUCAAAACUCAAAACUAGUUAGUCAGCAAAGUGAAUAACUAGCUGCUUACAUUAAUUACCAAUUACCAAACAAAAUAGCACACUUUACCAUCUUUGAUCAGUUUGUCCAAUUUCCACAUGUCUGUACUCUAGUCUUGUAGGUUGCAUCGAUAAAUCAGAAAACUAAAGGCAUGCAAUAAUCUUCGAAUAAAUGAAAUUACUUUACUUAAAUGAAGGUUAAUUUGAUACUUCUAGUUUACGGUUAAUUUGCAUUCUUGUUUGGCGUUGUCUUCUUCACUUUUAAAACAAAUUGACCAUAUGCGCAAAUUCGCAUGAACAUUUUUUUUCUAAGUAAACGAAAGAUUUUAAAUUCAAAACUUCCACUUAUAGUUCCUCUCCGCUUACCACCUAAUCCAACCCCUUCCAUGGCUAUGUGUGUGGCACGCCAUAUGGUUGGAUUGAGCGCUAUUUGUUUACCAUUUGGGAGAUUGAAGGGAAAGGGGGCUUAGCAGUGAAGUUCUGGCAUUGCAUGCAGGAGAUCUGUUUCUUGGCAAGUCACAGGCAGGCAAUUGGGAUUUUAUGCCUAUGUGGCUAUUUAUUUAGUAUUAUUUUGCAGUCCCCUUAGACAGAGAGAAUUAGCAUACACAUAAGUAGUAUCAGUUAAAUAACACGCAUGCCUCUGCUUCAAAUGAUAUGAACCAAAAGUAACAAUUCAGAGACGUUCACCUUCUAAAUUAUUUAGUAUUUUUUUCCCUCUAAUCUCCUUUUUGUUUUUGUUUUUGGAUCUUUUCAUUGACACCAAAACUAGUACUACUACCCUAUUUGGACUCAAGCCCGGAACAGCAGCUUCUCUCUUGGCUUACAAUUCCAGAUUCCAGCAGUACUGCAAAAUUUCGGAGGUACCUUCAUAUUUUCCACUAGUACUAUUAACGCAAGUUCAUAUGGAUUUUAUAGAUUCUAUUUUGCUUUCUUUUCACUAAUUUUUUUUUCAUCGUGUCGAUCUGCCCACAGGCUAUCUCCUUCCAGGCCCCUGGAGCCAAGGCAAACAAGGUUCUAGGGCUCAAUUACGCAGGCAAUGUUGCAGAUGCUAAAGGUGGAAACGAGGUCAUGGCCGCCUCUACCUGUUCUUUCCACGGUAAGCGUUCAAAUUUUUGUCGCUUUCUCUCGACCGCCGUUAGUCCAAAAGGAGUUACUUGUAGGCUCAGAUGGUUACCAGCAAAUGUUCCGUCACCUCCUUUGCGCGCUUAGGGAAUGCUACGUUUUUCAUGGAUUCGAGUACCAUUUGCUGCUCUCCUCAUCAGAGUAUUUGCGCUUUCGAAACCAAUUAUUUAUGGCAGCAUCUCCAGAAUGUCCAUAUUUUAAAAAUUACAGAUCUUGCUUGCAAUGAGUGAAUUAGAUAUUCUGGUUCUUUCGGGGCCCAACUUGGUUUAUCCAAAAGUGUCCGUUCAAAUUACCAAUUUUUUUUUUUUUUUUUUUUUAAAAAAGAAUUGGAGUGGUAUUAUAACCAAACUAUGGUAAGUAGCAAGGCAGCACUAUGGAUAACUGAAACUUAAAACAGGGGGAUUGUUUCGAUGCCCUCUGGGUGAUAUGGUAAAAGUUUUUGGUUUUUAUAUCUCAUUACCGCGGAUUCAGUUACUAAUGAGAGCUCCUAAAUCUUCUGAUGAAGCCAUAUCUGAAAGGGAUCUGCUGUCCGGUGUCUGCAGUAAAAAAUUUUCAACUGGUGGCAACAGAUGCUACGGCAGCACAAGUUAUAAGAGUUUGGGAGUUUUUUUUAGACGAUCAAUUGGAGCCCAGGCAGAACAAGGGCGCCGUGGGAGUAAUGGAGAUUGGAAAUCCGAGCAGCUAUUUGGCGAUAUCAGGAGGUGUUGCUGUUUUCUCCAGACCCGUCUAGGAGUCUUAUACCAGUUGAUGAAGGUAAAAAGCUGGCAGCUUUCAGUUUGCUUCAAGUAGCAGUGGAAUAUGGGUCCACAGCAGGUCAAUAUAAGCCACCAAAAAUUAUAAGAAGCCAUCAGAUUGCUGAGUCCUACGAAAUCGUCUGCUAUUGUCACUGUUACAACCUUUAGUGCUUUGAGCUUUUACCCAACUUUGCAUGGGAUUCUAUUUACAAGUUUCAAGCCUCUGUUGGCUGUGAGCUUUAUCAUUUGUGAUCAACAUCGUUAAAUUCCUAUUCUUGUCAUCUUUUGAUUUAUAAAUUACCAUUUUUUUUAACGUCCUGGUUAAUAGAUGUAAAAUGUACUUCAUGGUAAAAUUACCAGCAGUUGCAGAGAUUGGUCGGGUAAAUAUCUUGACCAUACAUUAGAACAUCCACAAGCAAAAGAGGAAACACAAUUAAAUGCUUCUUCUCCUCUAUGGUGUUGUCAUCCUUCAAAAUUCAAAUUGGUAACUUGCACAUGGUAUUUGUAGAAUGGAGAAUACGUACAGAUGCAAGCUUCUUGCCAUUACUUGUGGAAUAGUUAUGCAUGUUGAUCUACAAGUCCAAUAUUAUGAAGCUAUGUUUACUUGUUCUUUUCUGUCAUUGACCUUGCCACAGUUGUUUAUGCUCUGGAUUCUCUUUUGUGAAACAUAUGCAUGAUAUGCCAGUAGACAUUGGAACUCAAAUCAGAGGAUGUGUUUAAUAACACAAUUGAACAUUUUAAAUUGAAAAUUCAUAAUUUAUGAAAAUUAUAUCAAGGUGUCCUCCUGAGCUUCUGAACCCUUCUGCAGUGCUGUUGACUUAUAAAAGUCCCAUAUAGAGACAAGUAGGAAGCAUGCUUCUUCAAUCUCGUGUCAAUGUGAAGCAUUAAUUGCAGACUGUAUUUGUUCCAACGAUCUACCUUUGGUUUCAGGUACUACUAUGGUCACGAACAAGAUUCCAAGUGCAUUGAUUGCAGCGUAAAGAAUAAAGGUUCCUAUACACACAUUCAUGAACUUAAGCACAUUUCUUGUAAUGGAAAGCAACCUCGAUGCAGUAAACUGUUCCUAAUGGCAAAUGAAGACAUUGGCCUGAGCAAGUUGUCAAUCUUUCUGUUGCCUCUGGUAAGUGCACGAGUGCCAACUAAAGUGACAGUAAGUAUGCACAGUAUGCAAAAGAAUCUGGAGUGACUCUUUCUGUAGGAUAAAUUAUUUAACCUAAAAUCUGUCCAGCCAUUUUUAUGGCAUUUUGCACGAUUUUUUGGGUCUUAUCAGGAAGAACAUUAAAUAUUUGCUUACCAGGGGAGCUCCAAGUCAUCAGAUAAUUGAAGGUGUAGGAACACAACCAGGCGCCAAACCAAUUCACUAGUGUUGCCAAGCUUCCAGCCACUCCUUUAAUAUUUAUAGGGAAUAUCUUUAACACAUACGACAAAAGACAAUUCUCAAUUAGAGGUCUCCACUAGAAGUGUAGAAUGUAGAUGAUGAUGAACAGUAUAGAAACAAUUACCUCUGACAUCACAACCCAUGGCACUGCUCCCAUACCUGCUGAAAAGGACCCUAUGUAGACCUGAACUUUUCAAGAUAUUAUAACACCAGUUACGUUGUAUAUAGGAUUUCCUUUUACAAGGUUUUUCCAUUUUUCGUAGGUGCAAGGGGAUAAGGAGACAAGUUGGAGUAGCAUAGCCUGGGGAGUGGAUUUAUGGUAUUUUGGAAGAUUAGGAUUGAGGAGAUUGUAAUAUUACCAGUACUCCAGUUACAGCAAGUACUGGGACUGUUUUCAGUGCUAGUUCAUGAACCUGUCAAGAGCACGACUCUAGCAUCAAAAUCUUUUGAACUUGAAAAAAAGCGUUAAAAUUACUUGGAUGAUGCUGGGACAAGUGUUCACCUUAAGGUAGAAUGAGAUCCCUGUUAAUAAACAGCCUAUUACUAGUCCUGCUCCAGAAACCUAGAAUUCCAGGUUUAGUCUUUCAUUGACCAAAUAUGACUGUAUUCCAUAACAUAGUUACAGAUUAAGGCAUUUCGAAUGGAUAGUUACCAAUAAAAGAGGUUUUCUUCCAGCUCUGUCAACUAAGGUUGCCCCUAAUCCUGUGAUCACGACCUGGAAAAUAAAACGCAACAAAAAAUCAAUAGGAAAACAAACAAACUUCUUAUGAAAAUGAUAUUCUUAGUUUUUUUUUUAUCUCUGUAGAACACAUGAGUAGAGAUAGGACCUGAAGAAUAGCAUAUGUAGUUGUUCCAACAUCAGGAUUGAAUCCUAGGGAAUUACAAAUGAGAAGACAAGCAAUAUAAAUUUCAAUUUGAAGGUUAGGCAUUCAAAACUAAACUCUAGAAAGUGAAGGAAACGGUUGUUGUUGUGGAUAGUCCCAUUAUUGUGUGCCCAUGGCAUGUCUUCUCUUUCUUGAUAUGCAUAUCCAUGUGUAUGACAGAUACCAAAAGCUAAAACAAUAUUCUUGUGAAAGAAGCAAUUUAAACAUGUCAUCUAUGACGAAUAAAGUACUAACAAAUACUUAGAAACUAUAACAUGUCAUGACAAUGCAUUUACUAAUUCUUGAGACAUUUCUCCUUCCCUUGCAUGAAUUGGUUCAUCUUGGGUAAAUGUGUCAGUUGUUGUAUAGAGAGAGAGAAAGGGAAGGAAGAGGGGUGGGGUAUUUUUUUGGGGCAAGGGUUUGGUUUGGGUGGGGGGGGGGGGGACAUUUUACCUGCUGUCUCAAAAAUACUGCUGGUGUAAAAGCAGACUCCAUUGAUCCCGCCAAGUUGUUGAACAACCAUGAGGCCAACUCCUAUCUGCCCACAAAGUCAAUUAUGCAAAUUACUCUAGAAAAAGUGGAGUUUCAAUUUCUGAUUAUUGGAGUUGAUGAAAAGAUAUCCAAAGUAGAUAUAAAAAAAAAAACAUAAUUAUACACUAAAUCCAUUGUAUGAUUUCAAUAAAAAAACGUGGGGGAAACAAAGAGAGAGAACAACUUCAUAUAGGAGACAAGGAAAGAUGUAUUUACAGUGACUGAGCGUAAGUAUCUUCUCUGAAAAAGAUCUACUAUUUUAGCUUUUGGGAGCCGCUCAAGAGUUUCUAUAUAGUCCUGUCAAAGAAAUUGCAUAAAAACUUAUCAUUAUCUGCUGUCUCGGUGCGCCUCUCAAUGAAAUAAUCAAGAGCUGAGAAAAACACAAACUUGGAUUUCAACAGCCUCUUCAGAUAUGUCAGCUUUGCUGCCACGAAGUUUUUGUAAUGCUACUUCAAACUCUCUUCGGCGUCCCCCCUUUGCCUGUAGACAUGUUUAAGUAUCAGCUUCACUGAUUUUCUAUGCUAACCCUUUUAUCAAAUUGCAGAAAGUAUUAAAUUUCAAGACUUGUUCCUUACUAGCCAUCUGGGAGACUCUGGAAUCAUGAAGAGGCCCAGAAGCAGAACAGCACAUGGUAUAAGCCCUGCAAGCACAUGAUUGGUGAGUUCCUUUAAUGACCAUCAUCAUCUUAAGGUCCUCAAUUUGUUUCGACUUCUAGUUAGCAGACCCUUGCUUUAGGGCCCAGUAUAAUGGUAAAUGGAUUUUACCCAGUAUCAAGACUUACCUACUAAAGCCAAAGUCCUCCAUGCUAGCAAGGUCCCUAUUAUGAAGGACACAGAUACUCCAGCAACAAUCAUGAACUGUAGGAUCAGAGGGAAACAAAGGCAUGAUGUCAGAUCUUUAAAGGCCAAAUUCUUUUGCUUUUGUUGUUACCCAUGAAACCUAGUUUACUUCCAUACAGGUCAUGUUUAUGUGUUGAUUGCUUUUUACCUGGUUUAUUGUGGUCAAAGCACCCCGCAAAUCUUUGGGUGCAAUUUCAGCUAUAAAGACAGGUACCUGAUCAUCAGGAACAUUCACGUCAAGCUAAAAGAAAUUUAUCUGAGGCGCUUAGUGAUUCACAGGAUUACCUACCACGUAAGAAAAGACUCCCAUUCCAUAUCCUGUUGCCAUUCUUCCAAUGUCCAGAGGCACAGCCCCCUGUAACAAUGCACUCAUAUAUCAGUUACAGUUUUCUAUGCCCAUGAUGUUUUUGUAAACAUCUUUUAGACAAGUCAAAUUCUCUCCAAUUCCUAGGAGAAGAAAAUAUUAAGUGGUUAUUGUGGAUUUACCUUAGAAAAAUAAAUGGCUAGCCAGCCUGCCACACAGAAACCGCUUGCCAGUCUCAUCGCCUGCUCCCAUUUGAAUUGAACUGAUGAUCAAUAUACACUACCAGAUCUAGAAGCAAUAAGUUUGGGAAAAUUAUUUGAUAGCAGCUGGUUCAGGUUUGUACUAUCUAGCUUACCCCUUUCCUACCAACGAAAUCAGCAAUUGGACCGCUUGUAAUAGCUCCAAUCAUUGCCCCGAAAGUCAAUAUUGAACCGAACAGUGAGUACUGCAUACAAUCACCAGUAAGAAAGUUCUGAAUUUUUUGUUCUUGUUUUCAUGCUAAAACUUAAUAUCAAAAGUUAAAGUGUUUUUCAGGCUUUACUUGCAAUGAAGUACAGUAAGUUAUUCGAGUCAAAGUCAUUUACUUCAUCACUUUAAACCAGGUUGCAUUGUAACAAGCUGCAGAAAAUCUCUAAAGACUCCUCUUAACCACAAUUCGACAUGGUUAACCCUGUUGAGACAUUUUGAAAUCUCAAAAUCUUCGAAGCAAUGUCUCCACUUACCAGUUUUUAGGGUGUCUUCAUUAAUGCUAAUUUAAUUAAUUGAUGCUACAUUCAUCUCCUUGGAUAACUACUUGAUGAAAAGCCUAUAAUUGCUAGUAUUAUUGUUUUCUUCCUUGAUAUCUAGUGAAAUAACCCCUUUAAUCUGUAAAACUUAAGAGGUCAGAACAGAGGCCUGGUAAAAGACAUGAUUACUUUGGGUGCACAAGAAUUAAGACCUGUGGUGAUUGCCCUUGAGAGUCUAUGUCCUUAUUGUGGGAUUUGUGAGUAAUUCAUGUGCACUAGACAGAACUGCAUCUGCAUAUCAAGUGUGUUGUCAGGGAACAAACCUCUGGUAUUGAAAGAUUGAGAUCCUCCCUUAUGGCAGAUUGCGUAGGUGAUGAAUAGCCUGCCUGAAAAGUUAAUGAACGCACACACACACCGAGUUAUUGGAAGUAGACGUAAUACAUGUGCAGAAGAAUCCAUCCAUCUUUUUACAAGGAAGACUGAAGACAAUGGAAGUCAAUCACUUACACAGCACCCGAACUC
rnacentral:lncRNA from 1 species